rnacentral:lncRNA from 1 species
CCAAACCAUCUUUCCGGCAACCCAAGAAAGUUAAAAUAAUUUUUUUAUGCGUUCAGCCCUUCCUACCCUCCUUCUCCUCUUUCUAUCUAGAAAAUUCAAAAAAUUCCAGGCUUCAACGCAGAGAUGAGAGAGGUUAAAGAGAUAAGAAAUCCACAAUAUUCCUAUGCUAUAAAAGGCCAGGCAGGUCAGGCGAGCCGAGGGCCUAUUCCACCAACAUACAGGUGAGUGGGGUGCCAUACCCUCCUCCUCGCUCCGGCAAAACCUCCGUCGUCUUCAUCAUGGGGAUUCAGUGAUCCCGAGAUCAAGAGAAGGAAGAGGAUCGCGUUGUAUAAGGCUUAUGGCAUUGAGGGAAAGAUGAAGGCCUCCUUGAGAGGUGGGUUUCAUUGGGUUAAGAACAGAGCUAGAAGAUUUUAUUUUUUUUAUUAAACAGGGCAAAAUCAAAGAUGUUGUAUUUGGGUAAAAAAAUUGUUAUUUUUGCAUGACCUGCACUUCUUCUUCCUCUUCGAACCCUAACCCACCAUUGCCCAAAUUCGAAAUCUACCCAUACCCCCCAAUGUACAGAAAACAAUUUCAUUUAAUUUUUUGUUUUCCUCUAUUUGGUUAGUAAGAAAGCUAAGGAAAAUGAGGGAAAAAAAAACUUACCUAGUAGAUGCUGUUGGUGGGAGCCGUUGAUGGUGGGAGCCGUAGAUGGUGGGAGUCGCAGACGGUGAGGAGAGAUGGUGGGAGUCGCAGACGGUGAGGAGAGAUGGUGGGAGCCGCAGAGAAGAGAAAAUAAUAGUUAAGGUUUUUGUUGAAUGAUUUCGGAUUGAAAAAAUUGGGUCUUCAGAGUAGUGGAUUGCUGAUGUGGAUUCAAAAUACUACUUUGACAAAUAGUUUGAAAGUUGUAUUAGUUUGAUUUUUUUUUUUUCAGUAAACAUUACUUUGGCUGCAAACUCUUCCUAUUGUCUUCAAUAUAGUGUUUUCUUUUUGCACUAGUUUCAAAGAACCUGAUACCAUACUCAUCAGCAAGAUUUGCAUCGUUCCUAGGAAUGGAACUAGGGCUGCGCUGUGGGGAAGAUAAAGCUGCCUCUGGUGUGUCCACACCCGCACACAGCCAGACCCAUGUGGGGUCCAUGGUAGAGCAAUGGAGGGAUUGAUUUCAACAGCAGGGUGGUACCAUAUGUCUUGAUAAUAAUCUUGGUGGGGUAGACAAACAGACUCGAUUCUGACAACACAUACGCGUCGAAGUAGUGGUUUCUCACCAGCGACACCACAGUUCAUGGCACAACAUGCAGCACCUGCUCUAGUAAUUCGAAAUCCAGUGCCGGAGACCCAUUCCGACCACAGGAUCAUUACCGGAGAAGUGGAGCUCCAGGCGCUUCUCGAAGCCUGCUGGAAAUCUUACAAUAUGCAUUCCGACUAUACAUCGACUAUGCUCACCAUCAAUAGAAAAAUCACCAACAGGUAUCUUAUCUCCAUGAGCAAACCCAAAUGAUGCCAAAAAGUCAUUCAGAGCAUGAAAGCAGACGAGCAUGAAGGAAUGGAUAUUCAUCUACUCCGGUCUCAAUGUCUUCAGCUAUUAAUCUUUCCAGAAGGUCCCUCAUGCUGAUUCUGGUCAUUCUUGAAACCUCGGCUUCCAGCUAUUGCUCUGACAGCAAAGCCAAAGCAAAAAUAGUAGCCUAUCUUAUUCUUCACCAGAUUGUAGAACCAGCAACUUUUCUCUAAUGGGACUCAUUUAAUCCAUUUGCAACAACCUUGAACUCUGUUUCCGUGAGGCUUGAGAAAUUCUAAACAAACUGAUUCAGACACUUUAAAACCCCCGUUCUGAUGCUCCAACCAUCAGGAUCUUCGGAUUGCACCGGAUGCUCUAAGAUGGUAGAGAACUGAUCCAUCCAUGGUUUAAGCAUUGACAUCAUCAAAUCACUGGUUUCUGUCUUAUAUACACCAGUCAUCACACCCAACAUGGAAGUGCAAGCAUAAACUGUUAAAGGUGAAACAGGCACUAGUUUUGGCACCAUUGUGUCAUCCCAAAUCCCCAGAAGGAAUGUGCCAAGCAUAUUAGAGCUCCAUGCAUCCGGACAUUCUCCAGCUGAUCUUCUUCUCAAGUUGUCUGCAAUUCUUCAUGUCUCGGGUUCUUCUUCCUUCUCUGACAAAGCCUAUUCUCCAGAACCCUUCUCAGCUCAAACAAGUUCCCUCUCUGGAUGUCUUCAGCUCAUUUACUUCUUCAGUCAAAACAACCUCUGUAAAAUAUCUCUUAAAACCCAAUACGUUCCUUUCAACCGUAAUAGAUCUCUGUGAGAGUGUUCAGCCAGACUUGGAUAUACCUUCUCACAGCCGUUGCAUUGAGCAAGAUCCAGAAACAAAUAGGAGCCAUAACAAAGCAGAAUCCACAGAAAACAUAACACAAAAGAAAACAAGUAAAAGUGAUCAUCAAAGGCUUCACUUCAUGAGUUAUCCGUGAGUCCUUUGAUUAGGUGAGAGAAAAAAAAUAUCGAAUGCAGAUAUUGGCAUGAUUCUUUGGCGUUUCACAACAGAGACAAGACAUGCUCAAAUUAACAAUACCAAAUAUGAAUGCAAGGUUAUAUCUCAACAAGAAACAAGUGGUCUUCAUUAUCCACUCCAAACAAAUCAACGAAUAUUCAAACAUCAACAAGAGACAUAGAAGAGUGAUAAACAGCCAAAAGCCAUCAAUAAGUCUAUAGCAAUCAUACCUGAGGGAGUCUUUUUCAACAAAACCAGCAGGACUCCAAGUUUUACUCCAGAAAAAUCAGUCUGCUACCCUGCUUCCGGCCAAGCUUCCUUCUCUAACUCAGAGAACCUCUCUGGAAGCUCUCAACAGCAGCCUAGAAAAUUUUUGGUUCCCUCCUCUUGCCCUCGUUUCUCUCUCAAACUAAACGACCACAAAAAUCCCCUCUCAACCUCUCUGUUAAAAACUCCUCCUGUAGCAGCCUUCUCUCCAAGCUAUCUCUCAAAAAAACCACCGGAAUCUCACUCUCGUCCGUUUUUCUCUCUAGUUCCUCUCCUUUCUCUAACUUUUCCUCUCCUCAGCAAAAAAAAACCUCUCAUCUCCUACCAAAAAUAGCUCCCCUCUGAUAACGAAUACUUUUUUUCUUUUUUUCCUACCAGAUUUGCCCUUCUAACAAUAUCUCCAGAAACAACCACCAAAAGCAACCCUACCCUCUACAGCCUCCUUUCUCUCUCUCAUAUGCGCCCCCUAACGGCUUGCAGAAUUCUUUUCCAGAAUGUUCCUCCACGUGUCAUCCUCAUAUUUGUCUCCCAAAAAGCAAGGUUGAUUCUCUUAUGGCCACUAAGGAUUUGACACGUGGCUCGUUGGGGGUAGUGACACCUAGCUAAAAGAUCUGUAAGAAAAUGAGGAAAAUAAGCCCCUAAAAUGGGGGUUUACAAAUAUACCCCUCUUCGAUAGAGUUCACGAGUGUAAGGCAUAUGAACACUGGAGUAAAAAGAAAGUGUGAAUAAUGAGUGGAAUGGAGUGAACUCUAUCGAAAAACUAGGAGACCCCCAAAAGGAUGUUAGUGAAACACGGACUCAAAAGGCUAACAAAUGAAUAAAAGACUCUAAUCCUAAGAGAAAAUGAUGUCUCAAAUGCCUCUGAAGCCGCACUAAGGACUCAGGCUCCCUCUAAGACGUCUCCAAAAGUGACUUGAAAAACCAGAUCGAAGAUGAGUGUCAGUCGAACCACUCUGGAGAAUAGAAAAGAUUACGCCCAAAGGAGGUUGCCCUAUGCGAACUACAUGAGAAUGCCAAGUGCAGGGUGCCCCACAACAUGACUAAAGUACGAGUCGUGAACUCAAAUGACUAUGUCAUGUGCGGAGAAACAGGAAUUUGGACGAGCAAUGAUGAGUAAGCAAUAAGCACAGGGUAACGAGGUGAGAUAAGUGAGGCUAAAUGCAAAAUCAUGAAGACAAGAUGUGUAAAGCCAGUGAAUAUAUAUGCUAGGGACCAUGACUUUGAAUGAUACGAUUGAGGAGAAAUGACUUUAACUAUCAAAAAAAGGAAAGAAAGUGGUGACUCGAGAUGUCUGAAUAGGUAUGUACAAUGGCUUUGAAUGCCAAAACUAAGAAAAAGAUGAUAGUGGUACUAAAUGCCAAACAGAACAGUGGCUCUGAACUCCAACACUAAGGAAAGAAACGACUCAAGAUGCCUGAAUGGGUAUGACAAACAGCUUUGAAAGCCAAAACUAAAGAAAAGAAAUGACUCAAAAGACCCGAAGAAGUGUGCCCAAUGGCUCUGAACGCUAGAAUGGAGGAAAAUGGUGAUGGAUUGAACGAAAGAUGGACAUGAGGACUCUGAGUGUCGAACUAAAACCACGACUCUGAACUCUAAAUAAAAAAAAAAACAAAUCAUGGCUCUGAACACCAAAUGAAGAUGUGGCUCUGAACGCCAAAUGAAGAUGUGGAUCUGAAUGUCGUAACGAAGAUAAGUAAUAGCUCUGAACGUCGAAAUGGAUGAUGUAAUGGCUCUGAAUGCAGAAUGAAGACGUGGCUCUGAAUGCUGAACGGAGACGUAGCUCUGAAUUUCGAAAGAAGAUGUGACUCUAAAGGCCGAACAAAGCAAAACAUGGCUCUGAAUGCCGAACGAAGAUGAGUAGUGGCUCUGAACACUGAAGCGGAGAUGUACUGGCUCUAAAUGCCGAACAAAGAUAUGGCUCUGAACGCCGAAGCUGAGAAGCGAUGGUGAUGACUCUGAACGUCAAACUGAAAACCGAUUAUGGCUCUGAACGCCGAAACUGGGAAGUGAUGAUGAUGACUCUGAAUGUCAAACUGAAAACACGAUGAGGAUGGCUCUGAACGUCGAAACUGAGAAGCGAUGAUGACGACUCUGAACCUCAAAACUAAAAAAAUGUGACUCUGAACGUCAAACUGAAAAAAUGCGAUGAUGGCUCUGAAUGCCGAAACUGAGAAUGUGACUCUGAACGUCAAACUAAGAAGUGAUGAUGGCUCUAAACGCCGAAACUGAGAAGUGGUGGUGACAACUCUGAACCCCGAAAUUGAGAAGCGAUGAUGACGACCCUAAACAUCAAACUGAAAACAUGAUGAUGGCUCUAAACGCCGAAACUGAAAAGUGAUGGUGGCUCUAAACGCCGAAACUGAAAAAUGCAAUGAUGGCUCUGAACACCGAAACUGGAAAGUGAUGAUGAUGACUCUGAACGUCAAACUGAAAAAUGCAACUCUGAACGUCAAACUGAAAAAUGCGACUCUGAACGUCAAACUGAAAACCGAUGAUGGCUUUGAACGCCGAAACUGAAAAGCGACAAUGAUGGCUCUGAACGCCGAAAUUGAGAAACGAUGAUGGCUCUGAACGCCAAAACUGGAGAAGUGGUGAUAAACGCCGAACUGAAAGUGUGACAUGAUGACUCUGAAUGUCGUAAACCGUGAAUGAACGGUGGCUCUGAACGCUAAACUGCAAGGAAAUGAUGAGGGGGGAAAUAUGCCCCAGUGUGGCAUACCGCUGCAAAUCUCAAUCCGCUGGAAGGGUCUGAAAGAGAUUCCAUGGGGAUGCGUAAAAGAUCUGACAUGUGUCCUACUAAAAUGAUGAUGUGGGAAUCCAUGCACCUGAGAUAACUCCGUCCAAGAAUCACGACUAUAUCAGAGAGUAUGAAUCUAGUUGAACAACUCAAAAGAGGCUCCUCGGAGUAUCAGUACAAAAUGAAAUCGAAUCAUCAACCUGACGUGUAUAUCAUAACCGGGGUGAUCACGCAAAUCAGUGGGGAAUCUGCAAAUCCCAAACGAAAUGGGGAAUAUGCCCCCAGUGUGGCAUCAAAAAUGCAACAAGUCGAAAAAUCAGAUGAGCUCAAAUCGUCCAUGUCUGCAACUGAAUUAGGCCCUCAAAUCAAGGAGGCGUCUCCCAGAAGGGAGCAUGACGACAUCUAAGUGUCGAGAAGUGCAGGCCUAACAGGGCAACUCUCAAGAAGCUCCACUAAGGAAUCAUCAUGAAGACAGCGAAUAGAUCAUCAUCUCGACGUACGUCUCGCAAAUAGGGAUAAGCAUGUAACUCCACCAAGAUUUGUAAAUCUCAUCCAGAACGGAAAUAUGCCCCAGUGUGGCAUCAAAUGUAUGAUAGGUCGAAAAUCAAGUGACAUGGAAUCAUCUAUCAUCGAACAUGUGAUCUCAGUCAUCCAAAACUAUGACAGAAUCGGGUCUAAGCGUCCAAAAGUCAUCUCACAGGGAUAAUCAUGGUGGCAUCGGAAUGCCGAGAAGUGUGGGCCUAACUGGAUGGCUCCCAAGAGGCUUUACUAAGGAAUCAUCAUAAGAAUGGCGAAUAGGUCAUCGUCUCGGUGCACAUCUCACAAGUAGGAAUGAUCAGGUGACUCCAUGAAGAUCCAUAAAUGUCAUCCGAAAUGGAAUAUACCCUAGUAUGGCAUCGUAUGUGUGACAAAUUAGGAAAACAAAGUGACAUCGAAUCAUCCAUCAUCAAACACGUGAUCCCGGUAAUCCAAACACGGUUGAAACGAAUCUAAACAUCAGAGAGGUGUCUCCUAGAAGAAUAAGCAUGACGACAUCUAAAUGUCAACCAAAUCUCAAACAGCUGUCCAAAUAGAAGUUGUAGAAGAGGAUAUCUGAUCCCAUGGCCUCAUGGUGGUCUCAAGACACGGGACGUUACAUAGGCUAGGGUGAUAGGAUGAUAGAAACGAAGAGAAACUAAACUCAAAUACCCAAUGAUCAAAACUCAUGCCCUCAUGUAUGAAAUGCAACAAGUAUAGUAAAUCCCGUGAGCCAUGGACACGAGGGUGCCUAAUGUGAACAUAGUGUCGAUGAAGAGACAAAUAAAACAAAACGAACUGAUAAUGAGAUGUAUAAUGAUGAUGCAAAGAGAGUAUCAAACCCGAAAAUGGGUCACUGUAAGAAAAGAAUAAAAGGUGAAAUGAAAAAUAUGAAUCAGAAGUGAAAACGAGGAUGAUGAUGAAGCACAGAACACGAAAAUGAGUUAUGAUCCGCUUAAAUCAAAUAUGCAGGGAAGUCAUGUCAAUAACGAAUGCAAUGAAAUGACCCAGAGCUCCUAAGAGAAUGACACUCAUCCUGCUCUCAAAAUACACGACAAAUGAAUACGAAGAAUGAAACAUCCCAAGGAGCUCACAUACGAACUCCUAUCAAUAGACGUACCCAACAAAGUGACCCUCGAACACUGAUAUACACACUCAAUGAUAAAGAAUAUCAUACAUCCAUGCACUUAUUUAUUUUUCUUUUUUUUACAUAUAUAUACAUGCUCUGAACGCAAACUAAGAAACCCCAAAGAUGACGUCAAAAAAGGAUAAACAUACUCUCAAAUGUCAAUGUAACAUGAACUCUCUCUAAUGAUGUGACCUUCUCAAACUCAGGAUCCCUGGACCAACAUCCGUAGGAUAGAUAGUGAAAAUGACAUGACUACCCUCCAUGUAAUGAACUGAGGAGGAUCACCACUCGGGAUGGAAGAAGAUGAUACGAGACAGGCAACAAAUAUAAUAACAAAGAUGAGAUGAAUAAUACAACCAAUGAGAUGAGAUGAAAUGUAAUGAUGCAACCAUAAAGAGAAGAAAACGAGGUGAAUGUGCCCUUAGGUCCAAGGCUCAUGAAACUCCCAAACAAUGCAUGCAUACACUAAAGAGCCCCUAACCCGGUGUGAAAGUGUGAGCAAAGUAAUAAGAAAGAAAGGCUAUAACAUGCACACGAAGCUCAAUGGGCUAGCAAUGGACUAUAUAUCAAAAUGGAAUAAAGGGAUAUGGCUAACUGAAAUGAUGGCCACCCAUCCUGCGACCAUGGACUCAAACAUAGUACCUCUUUAGCUGAUCCACAUUGGUCGGCUCUGAGAACUAGUUUCCAUCUAAAUCCAUCAACCAUGCAGCACCCUCUGGAGUUAACUCCCUGAUGAAAUAAGGCCCGCCCCAACUGGGUCUGAACUUCCCUCUAGGAUCUCUGAUCAAACCUCUGAUGACUUUCAAGACUAAGUCGCCUAUAUGCAAUGGCCUAGGCUUGACCUGCUUUUUGAAAGCGCGGGCCAUCUUCCUCUGAUAUGCACGAACAUGGUCUGCUGCUCUCAAUCUCCUCUCAUCCAGGAGAUUGAGCUGAUCAAAUUGAGUCUGAGCCCAAUCCGCCUUGGGAAUCUGCUGCUCUAGUGCUACUCUCAAUGAACCCAUCUCGAUCUCAACUGGUAGCACCGCCUCCAUACCGUAUACUAAUGAAUAGGGUGUGGCUCCUGUAGAGGUGCGAAAAGAAGUCUAAUAUGCCCACAAUGCGAAUGGGAGCUUCUCUGACCAAUCCUGAGAAGUCUCAACCAUCUUUCGCAAUAUCCUCUUAAUAUUCUUAUUCGCGGCCUCUAUUGCCCCAUUCAUCUACAACCUAUACGCAGACAACCUAUGAUGCUGGAUGUCGUAUCUCUGUAUUAAGGUGUCAACCUCUACUCUGAAAUGUCAACUCAUGAGAGACUCCAUAGCGACAGAUAAUAUGUGAUCUGAUGAAACUAGCGACUCCAACUGAUGUCAAUCUCGCAUAUGGGGCGGCCUCCACCCACUUGGUGAAGUAAUCGAUGGCGACCAGGAUGAACUCAUGACGAUUGGAAGAUUUCGAUGAAAUCUUCCCGAUGAUGUCAAUACCCCAUACGGAAAAUGGCCAUGGCGAAGUAAGCGCAUGCAACUCGGAGGGCGGCACGUGAAUGAGAUCUCCGUGUAUCUGACACUCGGGACAUCUCUGAACAAACUGGUAAUAAUCCAUCUCCAUGGUCAACUAGACAUCCUAGGGGGUUUCCUAUGGUGAAACCUCUCAAACUCUCAACGCUCAAAAGUCAACUAGAGUGCGCAGUGAACGGUGUGGGUGCAUCUGAUAACCCUAAAAAGCUAAAACGGAAAAGAAAACACACUGGCCACACAAAUAUCCAUGAAACCUAGCUCCGGGCUAUACAAGUCUUCAAUGAUCGGACUCUAAUCGACAUCAAAGUGUCGCUCUCCUCCAAAAUGCUCCUGUACAUCGAUAUAGCCCAUCGCUAAACCCUACUCCUAAUCUCUGGCUCAGUCAGAGAGCAAGCAUACAGAAGGUCUCACACUUGCAAUAGUGAGAACCGGGAUGAAAGGAAUGAUCAAAACCAAGAGAGUUGGAGGUAGGGGGAUAGAAGUGCGACCCACAUAGACAGGCGACAUGCAAUCAUGCAGAAGGAGGGCAGUCAUGCAACAUACAGUCAAGCAGAGCAUAGGAUAUAUCACUCAUGCACACAUACAAGCUAUGACGAUCAGAUGAAAAACAAUACAGACAUCAUGCUCAAAGACGAUCGGGAUAAUAUACAAGCCAGAGGAAACAACACAGCAAGUCAAACGAUGUGCAAUAGUGAGUUUAUGCAUGUGAAGUGAGCAGAAUAAUUAGGAAGAAUCAGAAUCGCUAUACCAAGCAAAACAAGAUGAGCAAUCUAUGAUAAUCGGCAUGUCAAUGUACCAAACUAAUCUAGCAAUGAAGUACAUAAAAAGCGACAUCCAAAGCCCCAAUCAAGAUAAUCAAUCAUAUCAAUGUCCCAACACAAUAUCCAAGCAUGCAUCAAAAACUCCCAAUGUGCAAUCAAGAGACAGGUACUCAUUGAUCGACUCAUCAAAUGCCAUGUUUGCUUCAUCUUAAGUUCAAACUUGACCCUCUAAACAAUCCCCAGCGGAGUCGCCAUUUUGUGGACCCCGCAUUUCGGCUCAUGCGUUUUCCACUCGAUGGCGAGCUCGAUUAUUAUUUGAAAAAUGAUUUUAUUGAUUAAGAAAAAUGACUUGGAGUCACCACUUAUUUUUGUUUUAUUUUAAAAGGGUAAACAAAAUAAGAAAGAAAACCCUAAGUGUGACUCCUUAUUUUGGAAAAGGUGAUCUACGAAAAACCAGAUCGGGUUCGGGGGUCAGGUUACUUAUCGGGAAGGUACGGUAAAAAAUGUAGUACCCCUCUAAGUCCCUAAAGUCGGGUCUCUACUAAUAAAAAUGAAGCUGACAUGGCAAUUGAUGUGGAGAUCAAUGAAUACUCAUGGUGAUCAUGCACAUGUGAGAAUCAACACUACUACAAAAAUAGUUUAUGGUGUCACUAUUUACGGUGUCACUUUUAAAAUAAUGACACCAUAGGGUUUAUAAUUAAUAAAUGUGACACAUCAUAUAAAAAAUCUUCAAUUGAGGUAGUUAGAUGAUAUUAAUUUUAUAUUUAUGGUGUCAUUUUUUGGGAAGUGACAUCAUAUAAAAUAAUUUUUUUUAAGUAUUAUAACUUAAUGAGCCCACUUUUAGAAUUAAUAAUGAUGGAUACCAUAUAAAAAUCCCAUUGUUUCCAUAUCUCACCCACAAUCCAAAAAAUCUCAAUAUAUAAAUCCUAUAUAUAAAAUCAUGAUCUUCUUCAACCUUUUCUCUCACCCAUCCAUAGUCAACACGCUCAAAACCGACAUUCUUCACUUUGUGGACUCCCAAGUAACCCAAAAUCUCUUGGAUCUAUCAUUUUUUUUUCUUUUAUUAAUGCCAUUAUAUUAAUUGUUUCAACAUCUUUGUAUUAUGGUUUUUGUGAAUUGUGUUUUCUUGAGUUGUAGGGAAGAAAAAUUUAGGUUUAAUCUUCUAGCAUGGAAAAAAAAACUAUAGAUUAAUUGAUUUUUUUAAUCUAAACAAAACACAUNNNNNNNNNNNNNNNNNNNNNNNNNNNNNNNNNNNNNNNNNNNNNNNNNNNNNNNNNNNNNNNNNNNNNNNNNNNNNNNNNNNNNNNNNNNNNNNNNNNNUAGCUAGAUAUUUUAUUUGAUUUAUUUUUAUAUUUAAGUAGUUGAGUUUGGAAAGUUUUAUAUUUUGUAAUAGAAAUAGAAAUUUUAUAUUUUUUAUUAUUAGGAAUUUCUAUUUUGUUAAAUUGUAAGUAUCUAUCUCAAUAAGAGAUUAUUAAUAUUCAAAUGAAAGUGAUGAAAGAGAGUAGAUAUUUUAAUGCUCAAUUAUAUUUUAAUGUUUUUUUUUUUUUACAUAAGGGUUUAUUUAUGUUUUCAAUUUUGAAGUUCCCUUUCCAAGUCCAGCAACAAAAGUAGUGUCUAACCUUAAAAUGGGCAUGUGUGGUAUUGACAGGAAAUGAUAAGAUGGAAAUCAUAACCAUAGCCAUGUUCUCUCUGUGUCUUUCUAUCCUCUUCAGUUAAUUCAUGGGCAUAGAUAUUUUAUUUAGUUUUUAUAUUUAGUUUAUUUAUAGUUUAUUUAGUUUCUAAAAUCCAAUUAGCUAGAUAUUUUAUUUGAUUUUGUUUUUAUAUUUAAGUAGUUGAGUUUUGGAAAGUUUUUAUAUUUUGUUAAUAGAAAUAGAUAUGAGGACUUAAAGGGUUUAUAUUUAGGUAGUGCUUGAGCCAAGGAAAAUGAUAGUCCACUAUCUUGACCCUAUGCAUCACAAACCAUGUGAGGACUUAAAGGAUAUCGUAAACAUGUAAGUUCUUCCUAUUAUUUUUCAUAGUAUUAUUUUUAAAUAAAAAAAAAUACAUUCACCUCAAACUCAUUUUUUUUAUUAUUUAUAUAUAUUAUAACAUAUAACAUUUACCUAUUUUAAAAAUGUACCCAUUGAACUUAUUUACAUAGGGCUCUUUGAAUAUUUGCAAAGAAAACAUCUAAGAGGGAGCCAUCUUAGCAACUAGUGCAGGUGACAUCCAAAAAUUUUUCUUUACACAUUAGCUUAUGCAUUUGCACCAUUUAUAUAUGUGAGUACUAAUGUUAUUUUAUAAUUGAUCGAUUAGUGUCCAAGACAAGAAGGAGGGUUCGAAUGUGGCUACUUUGUUAUGAGAUUCAUUAAAGAGAUAAUUUUUUAUCCUACAAUUAUUGCUUCAAAGGUAUUACUUAUUUAAUGAAUUGUACAUAGUUUUAGGCUUCCAAAUGUUAUGCAUUUUAAUGUUAUUUUCUUAUUUGAUUUCAGUUUGGUAAUAAAAAAAAAAACAUAUUCUCAAGUAGAAUUCGAUGAAAUUAGAGGAGAAUGGGCUACUUUUGUGCUACAACUAAUCAUGAAUCAUGUUGAUGCAUCAUGAUCACCAUGCAUGGUGAGUCCCUUAGCUACUACAUGAAUUUUUCCAUAGGUAUUGUAUAGUAAUGCUUAUCUUUGAAUAAUGUUUCUAUUUGAAAAAAAAAUAAUUCUAGAUUUGUCAUUAUGAUACAUAGAUCCAUGUUUAUUUUCUCAUAAAAUCUCUAAACUCAUAAAUUUUGAANNNNNNNNNNNNNNNNNNNNNNNNNNNNNNNNNNNNNNNNNNNNNNNNNNNNNNNNNNNNNNNNNNNNNNNNNNNNNNNNNNNNNNNNNNNNNNNNNNNNUUUUUGGGAAGUGACAUCAUAUAAAAUAAUUUUUUUUAAGUAUUAUAACUUAAUGAGCCCACUUUUAGAAUUAAUAAUGAUGGAUACCAUAUAAAAAUCCCAUUGUUUCCAUAUCUCACCCACAAUCCAAAAAAUCUCAAUAUAUAAAUCCUAUAUAUAAAAUCAUGAUCUUCUUCAACCUUUUCUCUCACCCAUCCAUAGUCAACACGCUCAAAACCGACAUUCUUCACUUUGUGGACUCCCAAGUAACCCAAAAUCUCUUGGAUCUAUCAUUUUUUUUUCUUUUAUUAAUGCCAUUAUAUUAAUUGUUUCAACAUCUUUGUAUUAUGGUUUUUGUGAAUUGUGUUUUCUUGAGUUGUAGGGAAGAAAAAUUUAGGUUUAAUCUUCUAGCAUGGAAAAAAAAACUAUAGAUUAAUUGAUUUUUUUAAUCUAAACCAAACACAUGAUCAAGUCCUUAAAAAAAAGUGAAAAACAGGAAAAAAUGAAUGAUUUUUAAUAUGUAUUUGUGUGAGAAUGACAGGUACAAAAUUUUUUUAAGAUAUACUAUCAUAUAAUCUUCAUCCUUUCUAAAAAACGAGAGAGGAAAAAAAAAGAAUGAUUUUUCUGUUUGUAUCUAAGUGGGAAUGAGAUAUAGAAUUUCGUUAAGAGUAUCCAACCCCAAAAGGACCAAUCCGGGAAGGCAUGUGUGGUAUUGACGGGAGAUGAUAAGAUGGAAAUCAUAACCAUAGUCAUGUUCUCUCUGUGUCUUUCUAUCCUCUUCAAUCAAUUCAUGGGCAUAGAUAUUUUAUUUAGUUUUUAUAUUUAGUUUAUUUAUAGUUUAUUUAGUUUCUAAAAUCCAAUUAGUUAGAUAUUUUAUUUGAUUUUGUUUUUAUAUUUAAGUAUUUGAGUUUUGGAAAGUUUUUAUAUUUUGUUAAUAGAAAUAGAAUUUUUAUAUUUUUUAUUAUUAGGAAUUUCUAUUUUGUUAAAUUGUAAGUAUCUAUCUCAAUAAGAGAUUAUUAAUAUUCAAAUGAAAGUAAUGAAAGAGAGUAAAUAUUUUAAUGCUCAAUUAUAUUUUAAUGUUAUUUUUUUUUUUUUACAUAAGGGUUUAUUUAUGUUUUCAAUUUUGAAGUUCCCUUUCCAAGUCUAACAACAAAAGUAGUGUCCAAUCUUAAAAUGGGCAUGUGUGGUAUUGACGGGAGAUGAUAAGAUGGAAAUCAUAACCAUAGCCAUGUUCUCUCUGUGUCUUUCUAUCAUCUUCAAUUAAUUAUGGGCAUAGAUAUUUUAUUUAGUUUUUAUAUUUAGUUUAUUUAGUUUCUAAAAUCCAAUUAGCUAGAUAUUUUAUUUGAUUUUAUUUUUAUAUUUAAGUAGUUGAGUUUUGGAAAGUUUUUAUAUUUUGUUAAUAGAAAUAGAAAUUUUAUAUUUUUUAUUAUUAGGAAUUUCUAUUUUGUUAAAUUGUAAGUAUCUAUCUCAAUAAGAGAUUAUUAAUAUUCAAAUGAAAGUGAUGAAAGAGAGUAGAUAUUUUAAUGCUCAAUUAUAUUUUAAUGUUUUUUUUUUUUUACAUAAGGGUUUAUUUAUGUUUUCAAUUUUGAAGUUCCCUUUCCAAGUCCAGCAACAAAAGUAGUGUCUAACCUUAAAAUGGGCAUGUGUGGUAUUGACAGGAAAUGAUAAGAUGGAAAUCAUAACCAUAGCCAUGUUCUCUCUGUGUCUUUCUAUCCUCUUCAGUUAAUUCAUGGGCAUAGAUAUUUUAUUUAGUUUUUAUAUUUAGUUUAUUUAUAGUUUAUUUAGUUUCUAAAAUCCAAUUAGCUAGAUAUUUUAUUUGAUUUUGUUUUUAUAUUUAAGUAGUUGAGUUUUGGAAAGUUUUUAUAUUUUGUUAAUAGAAAUAGAUAUGAGGACUUAAAGGGUUUAUAUUUAGGUAGUGCUUGAGCCAAGGAAAAUGAUAGUCCACUAUCUUGACCCUAUGCAUCACAAACCAUGUGAGGACUUAAAGGAUAUCGUAAACAUGUAAGUUCUUCCUAUUAUUUUUCAUAGUAUUAUUUUUAAAUAAAAAAAAAUACAUUCACCUCAAACUCAUUUUUUUUAUUAUUUAUAUAUAUUAUAACAUAUAACAUUUACCUAUUUUAAAAAUGUACCCAUUGAACUUAUUUACAUAGGGCUCUUUGAAUAUUUGCAAAGAAAACAUCUAAGAGGGAGCCAUCUUAGCAACUAGUGCAGGUGACAUCCAAAAAUUUUUCUUUACACAUUAGCUUAUGCAUUUGCACCAUUUAUAUAUGUGAGUACUAAUGUUAUUUUAUAAUUGAUCGAUUAGUGUCCAAGACAAGAAGGAGGGUUCGAAUGUGGCUACUUUGUUAUGAGAUUCAUUAAAGAGAUAAUUUUUUAUCCUACAAUUAUUGCUUCAAAGGUAUUACUUAUUUAAUGAAUUGUACAUAGUUUUAGGCUUCCAAAUGUUAUGCAUUUUAAUGUUAUUUUCUUAUUUGAUUUCAGUUUGGUAAUAAAAAAAAAAACAUAUUCUCAAGUAGAAUUCGAUGAAAUUAGAGGAGAAUGGGCUACUUUUGUGCUACAACUAAUCAUGAAUCAUGUUGAUGCAUCAUGAUCACCAUGCAUGGUGAGUCCCUUAGCUACUACAUGAAUUUUUCCAUAGGUAUUGUAUAGUAAUGCUUAUUCUUUGAAUAAUGUUUCUAUUUGAAAAAAAAAAUUAAUUCUUAGAUUUGUUCAUUUAUGAUAACAUAGAUCCAUGUUUAUUUUCUUCAAUAAAAAUCUCUAAAACUCAUUAAAUUUUGAAAUGCAGGUAUACACUCUUGGGAGGGUGAAAUGGAGAAUAAAAAGGAAGAAGAAGGCAACAAGAUUUUGGGUUUUUAAAUGCAACUCUUAUGUCAUACGUUGUAGGACAUAAACGUUACUUUAAUUGCAAUUGAGAAAUUUAGAUUUUUAGAUGGGACUUUUAUGUCAUUUUAUGGUUAGCUGGUUUUAUGCUUAUGAAAUGGAGGUAUACAUGAAUCUUGGGAUCUUUAACAUUUCUAAAUCAUGUUUUGGUAUGUAUUCACUCUUCUUUUUUAGUUUUGAUGGGUUUGAUAUGUUGGACGUACUAUCCUUUUGUGAACAUUUGAUAUACAAAUAUUAUUAGAUGAUCAAUGUAUUAUGAGUUAUUCCAGAAACAUUACAGAAAAAUGAGUUAAAUAUAAUAUGAUUGUUAUAUUUAUGGACAAAAUAUAAACAGGUUAAUCUUAUUAAUUCAUAAGCAUUACAAAAAUCAACAACUAAAACCAAUCAUAUAUUCCACAAUAAUUUACAAUGAUGUGAUACCAUAACUCAAAAGUGAUGCAUUUAAUGUGACAUCAUAACUCAAAGAUGAUGUAUUUAAUGUGACACCUUAUCAUCACUAGAAAUAUAUGGUGUCACUUCUGAAUGGGUCACCAUUUAUCUACUUUGGUGUCACUUCCAAAUACGUCACCAAUUGGUACCCUCUAUGGUGUCAGUGGAGAAGGUGACACUAUGUUGUAGUGACACCUUAUGUUUAUGGUGACUCGUUAUAAAUGUCACCAUAUACCUUUUUCCUUGUAGUGCAAAACACUCAAUGAAGAACGACUGAAGUGAGAACGGGGCAUACCUUGGCAUCAAACGAUCAAUACGCUAUCAAGAAAGAUGGUUAGUAUACAAUUUAAGAAUAAUCUUAUGCAUGUCAUAGAACAAGAAUGAAUCAAUCAUGUAUAAUAAUCAAAUCAAUCAAUCAAUUAUAAAAUCACUUAUGUGGGGCCCCCACCAAAGCCCGUUUAUUUUUGCAUGAAUUAAUUUCACAAGUUCCAUUAUUCGAAAUUACGGAAUUUAAUUCAUGCUUAUUUAAAAACAUUUUAAAAAUAGAGGAGAUGUAAGUAUUGCUCGCCAUAAAAGAAAAUGGCAAUAAAUUUUAUUGAAAAUGAUACUCCUGGAUGAUCUAAAAACUAAGGAUGCAAUAUGGAAGAGUUUGAAGUUAUUUGAAAACCUAUUUCUUUAAAGACAGGCAUGAAAAUGAAUGAAGAAACAUAGGUUCUGAAAAGAAGCACAAGAGGAUGGCCAUACAAUUUUAGGAUUGUGCAUGCGGGCCCGAAGUACAACCCCCAAUGCUGAGUAUGGGGUGACCAAUGAAAACGGGACAAUUUGGGGGGGGGGGNNNNNNNNNNNNNNNNNNNNNNNNNNNNNNNNNNNNNNNNNNNNNNNNNNNNNNNNNNNNNNNNNNNNNNNNNNNNNNNNNNNNNNNNNNNNNNNNNNNNGGGGGGGGGGCGGGGGCACCUUCAGGCUAGGCACUUAUCAACCUUCUAGAUAAGCAUUACAGGCCCCAUCAAAGUCACCCAAAAAGCAAGUUUGUUCGCAGCAAUGAAUUCUUGGAUGUCAACCAAAGUCAGAGUUUACGUGCUAGCUCAGCAUGGCAGUCAGUCUUUGCUGAGUCAAUAAGUAAUAGAACUGAAACAAACCAUAAAUACUUCGCUACAGAUUCCACUAUUUCGUUUUGCUCCAAAGAGUGCACCAAACGCUUUCAUGCCUUACAAGGAGGCCACGUAUGAAUCGUCAAUACCCGUGGCCUUGAUGCGGCUGCUGAUGAGUUCACCACUCUGGUUGCUCGAUAGGGAAAGUUGUCGGCCUGGGCGUUGCACUAUUAUUCAGCACUUAGCCAGCUACAGAGAAUAAAAAAAAACAACUGCAUAAUCACAGCCUGGAGCGGGACACCAUUUGACAUUCCUAUUAUCUUCAAUAUAGUGUUUUCUUUUUGCACUAGUUUCAAAGAACUUGAUACCAUACUCAUCAGCAAGACUUGCAUCGUUCCUAGGAAUGGAACUAGGGCUGCGCUGUGGGGAAGAUAAAGUUGCCUCUGGUGUGUCCACACCCGCACACAGCCAAACCCAUGUGGGGUCCAUGGCAGAGCAAUGGAGGGAUUGAUUUCAACAGCAGGGUGGUACCACAUGUCUUGAUAAUAAUCUUGGUGGGGUAGACAAACAGACUCGAUUCCGACAACACAUGCGCGUCGAAGUAGUGGUUUCUCACCAGCGACACCACAGUUCAUGGCACAACAUGCAGCACCUGCUCCAGCAAUUCGAAAUCCAGUGUUGGAGACCCAUUCCGACCAUAGGAUCAUUACCGGAGAAGUGGAGCUCCAGGCGAUUCUCGAAGCCUGCUGGAAAUCUUACAAUAUGCAUUCCGACUAUACAUCGACUAUGCUCACCAUCAAUAGAAAAAUCACCAACAGGUAUCUUAUCUCCAUGAGCAAACCCAAAUGAUGCCAAAAAGUCAUUUAGAGCAUGAAAGCAGACGAGCAUGAAGGAAUGGAUGUUCAUCUACUCCGGUCUCAAUGUCUUCAGCUAUUAAUCUUUCCAGAAGGUCCCUCAUGCUGAUUCUGGUCAUUCAUGAAACCUCGGCUUCCAACUAUUGCUCUGACAACGAAGCCAAAGCAAAAAUAGUAGCCUAUCUUAUUUUUCACCAGACUGUAGAACCAGCAACUUUUCCCUGAUGGGACUCAUUUAAUCCAUUUGCAACAACCUUGAACUCUGUUUCCGUGAGGCUUGAGAAAUUCUGAACGAACUGAUUCAAACACUUUAAAACCCCCGUUCUUAUGCUCCAACCAUCAGGAUCUUUGAAUUGCACCGGAUGCUCUAAGAUGGUAUAGAACUGAUCCAUCCAUGGUUUAAGCAUUGACAUCAUCAAAUCACUGGUUUCUGUCUUAUAUACACUAGUCAUCACACCCAACAUGGAAGUGCAAGCAUAAACUGUUAAAGGUGCUUUUGUGCGUGAAGAUUUAUCAUAAAUCUGAGGAGAUGAAACAAUUGUAUGUGAGCAUGGGAACAAAACAGGCACUAGUUUUGGCACCAUUGUGUCAUCCCAAAUCCCCAAAAGGAAUGUGCCAAGCAUAUUAGAGCUCCAUGCAUCCGGACAUUCUCCAACUGAUCUUAUUCUCAAGUUGUCUGCAAUUCUUCAUGUCUCGGGUUCUUCUUCCUUCUCUGACAAAGCCUAUUCUCUAGAACUCUUCUCAGCUCAAACAAGUUUCCUCUCUGGAUGUCUUCAGCUUGUUUACUUCUUCAGUCAAAACAACCUCUGUAAAAUAUCUCUUAAAACCCAAUACGUUCCUUUCAACCGUAAUAGAUCUCUGUGAGAGUGUUCAGCUAGACUUGGAUAUACCUUCUCACAGCCGUUGCCUUGAGAAAGAUCCAAAAAAAAUAGGAGCCAUAACAAAGCAGAAUCCACAGAAAACAGAACACAAAAGAAAACGAGUAAAAGUGAUCAUCAGAGGCUUCACUUCAUGAGUUAUCCGUGAGUCCUCUGAUUAGGUGAGAAAAAUAAAAUAUCGAAUGUAGAUAUUGGCAUGAUUCUUGGGCGUUUCACAACAGAGACAAGACAUGCUCAGAUUAACAAUACCAAACAUGAAUGCAAGGUUAUAUCUCAACAAGCAACAAGUGGCCUUCAUUAUCCACUCCAAACAAAUCAACGAAUAUUCAAACAUCAACAAGAGACAUAGAAGAGUGAUAAACAGCCAAAAACCAUCAAUAAGCCUAUAGCAAUCAUACCUGAGGGAGUCUACUUUUUCAACAAAACCAGCAAGACUCCAAGUUUUACUCCAGAAAAAUCAGUCUGCUACCCUGCUUCCGGCCAAGCUUCCUCCUCUAACUCAGAGAACCUCUCUGGAAGCUCUCAACAGCAGCCUAGAAAAUUUUUGGUUCCCUCCUCUUACCCUCGUUUCUCUCUCAAACUAAACGGCCACAAAAAUCCCCCCUCAACCUCUCUGUCAAAAACUCCUCCUAUAGCAGCCUUCUCUCCAAGCUAUCUCUCAGAAAAACCACCGGAAUCUCACUCUCUCUCACUCUCAUCCGUUUUUCCCUCUAGUUCCUCUCUGUUCUCUAGCUUUUCCUCUCCUCAGCAAAAAGAACCUCUCCUUUCCUACUAAAAACAGCCCCCCUCUGAUAACGAAUACUUUUUUUCUUUUUUUUCCUACUAGAUUUGCCCCUUUAACAAUAUCUCCAAAAACAGCCACCAAAAGCAACACUACCCUUUGCAGCCUCCUCUCUCUCUCUCAUACACGCCCCCCUAACGGCCUGCAGAAUCCUCUUCCAAAAUGUUCCUCCACGUGUCAUCCUCAUAUUCGUCUCCCAAAAAGCAAGGUUGAUUCUCUUAUGGCCACUAAGGAUUUGACAUGUGGCUCGCUGGGGUAGUAACACCUGGCUAAAAGAUCUGCAGGAAAGUGAGGAAAAUAAGCCCCUAAAAUGGGGGUCUACAAUAUUCUUUCCAUUUUCCGAAGUUAGUACCAUUAAGCACUGGAAUGUUGUUUAUGUUGGCAGAUAUAACGAAAGCAUUAACUGUAUGCAAAAUAAAAUAAUAAGCUCACAAUAAACAACAUUGAUAUUUAGUCUUUGGACAAAAAUAACAAUUUAUAAAUGGUAUUAUUAUAAAUAAAUAAAAAAGGUAGUUAAUAUAUACUGAUAACAAAUUCUGCCAACAAUAUGCCUAUCUUUGGAUCGACUUAUUGCAUGCAUGGACAUCACCAAAAUAUCACAUAUUUACUACCACAAGUGUCUAAAAUUUGGCAAAAAAUAAUCUUCCUUUGGUUUGAUUAUUUUAUGCAUAGAUUUAAAUACUACUCAUAGAAUUCCAUAAUAAAAUCCACAUACUUCAAGAUAAAUAAAUUUACAUAAUAGAGGUCACUUUGGUGACAUAUAAUUUCACUUUAAUUCAUAUUGAAAUAUUGGGUUUUAAACAUGCAAAGAAAAAUUUGGUCAAUAGUCAAAGUCAAUAGUCAAACGGUCAAUCAAAGGUCUACUGGGUCGGUCAAAUGGGUCAGCCAAAGGUUCAACUGGGUCAAUCAAAGGUCCAACUAGAUCGGUCAAACAGAUCAAUCAAAGGUCUAACCAUACCCAAUACUUGACUCAAUUUAAAUGGACUUGGGUUCAACAAUCCAAAUGACCCAAUAUAAUGACUUAGGCCCAAUGUCCACACGACCUUAUUAAAAGGCUUAGGCCCAAUGUCCAAAUGACCUUAUAAAUUAAAAGACUUAAGUCCAAUGUUCAAGUGACCUUAUUAAAAGACUUAUCAAAAUGUAACAAGAUAAUGAAGGAAAAAUAGGUCAUUAUCACCCAACCACUUCAUCCUUAUACCCAAGAUUCUCAAAAACACUUAUAUUUUAUCUUGAAAAAUAUGCAAACAAUCCAAGAGAAAAUAUCUUAUAAAAAUAUUGAUAUUUAUUGGAAAAAUUAUUUAUAAAAAUUAUUUACAAUAGAAAAUCUGGGUAUUUCGGAUUAAAGAAAAUUUCCUUUACAACCAAACACACAAAAAAAUGGUGGAUGAAUGAAUGGAAAUCAAAUUAAAAAAACUUCAUCCACCAUGAAACAACUUUAAUUAAAACCUAAUAGAUUUAACAAGAGUGGCUCUAAUACUACUUGUUGGAGAAUCACCAAUCAUACAAAGUAAUUAUAGAAAUUGAUAAUCUAAACAAUAAAUACGUCAGAAUCUCAUGCUAAAUCUAUAGGAUAAUAAUAUCGGAAGACAUAUAUACCUGAAUCCAUUGAGAUUAUGUACAUGGGUCUUGUUUUCCACAUCUGGAACGAAUAUUACAGCCUCAAAAUCACUCACUAAUGGAAUGUAAAUAAUAAGCCAUUUUUCUAUCUCCUCUUGUUUAGACUGGGGACCAUAACCCUAUUUAUACCCCUUAUUAUUUUAUUUUAUUUAUUUAUUGACUCAUCAUUAAUAAAUAAAAUAAAAUUGGUCUUUACACAUUGCAAAUCUCAUAUAGUCCAUAUAUAUAGAGAUUCUUUAAAGGUCCAUCAUUAACUUAAUUGAUCACAUUUAAUUAGGCCAAAAAAUAAGAUAGCUAGCUUAAUGUACAAUGUGUUAAUAUGUAGGCCCAUAAUUACCAAAAUAUCCAACAUGAAGUUCAUUCAAUAAACUCUUUGGAUUGUCUCAAAAAGUUGAGAAGAAACGCCUAGAAAGUGUCUUGAUUAAUAAAUCUUCAAUUCAAAGAAGUGAAGAAAUGUGUCUAGUUAUAUAUGAGUUAUCCAGGAGCAACUUUUUCAUGCACAAAAUGGAAUCGAGCUCAAUGUGUUUGGUUGUCUCCUAAAAGUAGGAUUCCUUAUCAUGUGAAGAGGGCUCAUAUUAUCACAUAAUAGGAAAGUGAUCAUUGUAGUUGAAGACCAAUGUCAUGAAGAAAUGCGAGCCAUAUAAGUUUUGCUGUAGUGGGGGCAAAAAUCAAUAUUCAGCUUUUGUACUUGAGCUUGUCAUUGUUUGUUGUUUUUUUGGAACUCUAGGUGUGAUGUCCUACAUCGGAUAGGGGAGAAUGUUCCUAGCGCUAUAUAUGUAGAGGCUCCUCUUAACCAAGUAGACGCGUUUUAAAGCCGUGAAGGCCCCUUUGGGCCCAAAGCAGACAAUAUCUACAUGGUUGGGUGUAGGUCGUUACAAAUGGUAUCAGAACUGAUCCUCGACCCCGGUGUAGGGGUUUGUUUGGCUCCAUAAGGGGUGUUUGUCUGUUUGACCCCGCAAUCCCAUGGGACACAAUGAGGUCGUUGUGUCUACAUGGGGGGGAGGGGAGGGGUGUUUGUGAUGUCCUACAUCGGAUAGGGGAGAAUGUUCCUAGCACUAUAUAUGUAGAGGCUUCUCUUAACCAAGUAGACGCGUUUUAAAGCUGGGAAGGCCCCUUUGAGCCCAAAGCAGACAAUAUCUACAUGGUUGGGUGCGGGUCGUUACACUAGGAAAUAGCCUAGUGUACUUCUAUUUACGAGUCUUAGGAAAACUUGACCAAUCAUAUUUAAAGAAAGCAUAUGAGUUAAACUUUAUUUAUUUUAAAUAAAAUAUUAUUAACCAUUAUUAUCUUUAAAUUUUUAUUGUAUUUUGAAAAAAGAAAAUAAAUUAUGUUUUUAGUUGUUAUUUAUAGAUAGAUAAAUAGAUAGAUAGAUAUAUUAAAAUAAUAUUUUUUUUAUGAAAUAUAUAUAAAUUAUGAUUUUAUUAGAAUAUUAUGAUUCAUGUAAUACGAAAACUAUUUAUUUGUUUGUAAUUAAAAUUUUUUUUUUAGUGGGACUUGAAUAAAAUUUAACUAGUAUUAUAUAAAUUGAAUUAAAAAUUUUCAAAUAAAUAAAAAACUAUUUUAUUUUUAAUAAUACUUGAAUUAAAUUUAAUUAAUAUAAUGUUUAUUUUGAAUUUAUAAUCUUUAUUUUAAAAAAAAAAAUAUUUUUAAAAACAAAUUGCCAAACAUGUUUAUUGUUAUCAAAUACUAAAAAAAUUAUUUUCUAAAAACAAAUAUCAGGAAAUAUAAUCAAACAAGCCCUAAAUUUGUACCCUUUGAAAACUUUAAUUUAUAUUAUCUUAAAUUAAGACUUGUUUUUUUACUCCAAAUUGGAGUAUUAUUGUUAUUUCAAAAGGGAUGUUGGUCCUCUACUUUGUUUUUAGAUAUUAAUAAUAACUUUCAUUAAUACUUUUACUUCUUGUACUAUCACCAAUAAUGGGAAAAAUGAAUCAAACAUAAAUAUUUAUAAUAUAAAUAUUAUUAAAUAUCUCAAAAACUAGGGGAAGAAGUUUUUCCAACUCAUUUUAAAUAUGCACACACAUUUUAAUGUUAUGGGAGCAUACCAGAUCCAAAGUCGACCAUACUAAUACAAAAGAAAGCAAGUAAUUAAAAAUUAUAUUACAUUAAGUUAAUCCUUGACCUCGAUGUAAAACUUUAAGUGUUUCAAGUGGUCUCAUCAUUCCAUGGAAUACAGUAAAUAUAUUGUGUUGGCAUAAGAGGUAUUAUAAUAUCUCAUAUCAAUUAGAGUAAAAAGUUCAUCCAUCUUAAUUAUAAAGAUGUGUUUUUAGAUUGGUUUUCAAAGAAAACUCUCUUAACUUUUUUUCAAAUUCCUUCUUGGUGUUCAAUCUGAAAUGACAUGGAUGAAAUGAAGGGGUGGGAACACUAAAAGAAAAUGGUGGUCCCAUUUCUAAAGCUUAAUCAACUUGUUCACCAACGAUGUCGAAAAUUUUCCAAGUAUUUAGGGUCCAUGUGAAAAUUUUCCAAGUGAAAAUUCUCCAAGUAUUUAGGGUCCAUGUGAUGCUUUUUCCAAGUUGGUGUAGACAAAUUUUGGGAAGAGUGGAGGAAUCUUUGGCUUGAUAAGAUGCUUCACGCAUUUAGCGCAUAGACUUUGGACCUCUACCUUAUCUAGAAGAUGACGAUAGUGGACCAAAGUAUUUUAGUCCACAAAUGACAUUAUUAGAGAAAAAAAUUGAAUAUAAAGUAUCAAGUGAUGUUUAUUUUUAAAAUUUUUGGUUGAAGUAAUUUAUUUUCAAAUUUCAUUUCCUUUAUUUUUAACUUUUUGUUAACUUAUUGCUUAUUUUUUAAAAUUUUUAUUAAAUAAAAAAAUCAAAAUAUUUUAUUUUUUUAAAUAGUAAAAAUAAUAUAUUGGCUUUUUUAUUUUUUAAUAUUUAAUAAAAAUAAAUUUUAAAAAAAUAAAUAACUUAAUACUUAAUAUUAUUAAAUGCUGUUUAAUUUUUGUUUAAUUUUAAACUCUAUUUAAAAUUAAUUCAAAAAAACAAACACUACUUUAAUAUAUUCUUCUUUUCCCCCUAUUACUACUAUUCCAAAAUAAUAAUUCAACUCAUUCAUGCUAGUUUUCCAAAAUAAUAAUAAUAAUAAUAAUAAUAAUAAUAAUAAUAAUAAGGAUGAUGAUGAUAAUUUAAUCAAUGAAAAAGAAAAGGGGGAUAAAAUGGGCUCCAAGUUAUAUAGAUGUAAUAAAACUUUGAGGUGGAAAAGUAGAGCAAGGACUCUUUAACAUAUGAUACUCUACUUUUUGUCACUACCUAUUCUUCAAUCCCUUUCUAAAAUGUCGCCAUUCAAUUAAUGGGACAAAAUUAAAGCUAUCAAAAGUCCUCAACUCAUGUGACAAUUUUACAACUUGCGCUAUGGCGCUCAGUACUUUAUGGACUAUUACAACAUCCAAUUGAAUCCACAAAAAAUAAUAAUAAUUAAUAAGUUUUUUUGAAAGGUAUCAGGGCUACCAUCAAUAAAUCCAACUAUUUAUUCAUGCACCUAAAGCGAUUAUUAAAAGUAGAAAAUGAUAGUUAUCAGCUUGCCAGGCGUUUGACAUGAAAGAUUUGGAAGUUGUAUUUGAAAAAUGUAUGUAUUAAAGAUAACGAUAAUUUUGAUAUAUUAAAAAAAUUGAAUCAAAUAAAAAUCUAUCUUCAGUUUUACAUUUGAUGAGGACAAAGCAUGGAUAUAUUUGCUUCUCCAAACUAUGAAUAAAUUAUUUGAGAAAUUAUAAAGUUGAAAAUUUUAUUGAAAUACUUUUAGGUUAUGUUUAGUUCCCGAAAAAUAUUAAGAAAAGAAAAAAAAUAGUACAGAAAAUGAUAUUCUCAUGUUGAAGAAAGUCGAAUAUAAUUAAAAUUAGUGAAAAAUUAAUAUAUUUUUAAAUUAUUUAAUUUUUAUACAAAGGCGUUAAAUAUAUUAAAGAAAAUGAAAACAAUUAUUGAUUUUUAUUUUCUUUCACUUUUUAUUUCCUUCUACUUUUCCUCUUUAUUUUUUUUCCUUCACAUUUUUUCUCAAACAUUCCAUAAACCAAACAAAGUCUUAAAGUUAGGGACUUCUAGCUUUUAAGUUGUAACACCCCAAAAUAAACUUUAGGGGCAAAAUAGUAAAUUAAAAUUUAAGUAAUUAAUUAAUUAAACUCAUUAAAGGUAAAAGAGUCUUUUUACAAUUAAAAAUCUUAUGUAUUAAUUAGAUUUUCCUCUUAUCUUCUUUAUUCAGAAAACUCUAUUAACCUAAAAUCAGAGAAUUAGAGAACAUAGGACUAAAAGUUUGGAGGUCUAGAUUUGAAGUUCAGAUUUUUCCAAGUAAGAUUCUAACCAUAUUUAAUAUAUUAUAUUCGUUAACUAGUUUUGAACAUAUUAGAUAUUCUUUAGAAAAUUUUAACUUAGAUUAGGUUUAGUUUAGUUAAUUUAUUUUAAGAUCAAAAUAUUGAAAUUAUGAAUAUAGGUUAUUUCAUUGAUGAAAAUAGGGAAAUUUGAAAUUUUUUAGAUGAAUGGAUCUAAACAAUGAAAAUUUAAAAAUUAAAUGAGUAAAUAAAUCUAUGAUUAUAUGUGGCUUAAGGGAUUGGAAAAUAAUAAGAAAAAGAAUUUUGGAUUUGAGGCACUAAAGAAAAAAAUAAUAAUAUGUGAUUUGGAUACUUGUUAGGCUGUUUGGAUGUUGUAGGGUAUUGAAAAAAUAUAGUAAUUGUUUUUAAUAAAAGUUUUAAUAUAAUUUAGUAUACAAAAGAAAUAAAUGGUUGAAUAAGUUUUGGAAGAAAUAUGAGUUAUAAAAAAUUUGAAAAUUCAUUAAAUUAUAUUAUUAUUGUUUAAGAUGUUGAAAAUAAUAUUGGGUAGUAAUAAUAUUAGCAUGAAAAUUUAAUUAGGAUCCCUAAUACUAAAUAAAAUAUUUUUAGGAUUGUCAAAUUUUUACCUUUAGAUAAUUGUGUAUAAUAUAAUAUUAGGUGAGAGUAAAUUCGUUAAGCUAAAUACUUCAAAUUUUUGAGCGCUUCUUCAAGGUAAGAGAAAUUAAUGCAAAUUUUUAUAAAAGAAAAUAAUUUCAUUUUUAUAUUGUAUUUUGAAAUAUGUAAAAAUAUUAUUUUUAUCUUUUCACAUGAUCGAAUCAAAUAUGUGUUUUGUAUGAAAAAAAAUAUUUGAGAAUUUUAUUUGUUUAUGAAAAAUGAAAUUUUUUGAAAAUAUGAUAUUUUGUUUUGCAAGUUUGAAUUAAUAAAAUAAAUUGUUUGACUUUGAUUUCUAUGGCCCUAGUGAACGGGUUAUAAUUAUUGAUAUUUCUAUAACCCUAGUAAACGGAUUAUAAUUGUUAACAUAUUCGGUCCUAAUUAAUGGGUUAUAAUAGUUAAUAUUAUAUUGCCUUAGUCAACGAAUUAUAAUAGUUUACCUUAUGACCCGAGUCACUGGGUUAUAAUUGUUAACAUUUGAUUUUGUUCACUUUAAGUAGAACAAAUUUAAAACUAUCCACUCAUUUAUGAAGUCCCACCUUUCAUAUUGAGGGCCUUUAAAUUGUGAACAAGAAGUGAUCUUUCUUAUAGCACCACUGUCUAAACACCAUUAAAUGUAUUAUGAAGAGUAAUAUCAAAGAAGAUCCAAUUUCUACUUCCGCAUCAUAUCGUGUAUUUUUUUAUUUAUUCAGUUUUUAAAUAUCUGGUAUAUUACAUAUUAAAAUACCAAUAUAUAUAUCUAUAUAUAUAAAAUAUGUAGAGCUAAGAUUUAUUCUUAGGUUCAGGUACGUACAGGUCCUUCAUGGUAUACAUUUAAAACCCUAAUAUGAUGCUCAUGAAAAAGAUUUAUUUGCUUGAUCUUAUUUAAACAGUUUUUUGCCCAACUCAUUGAAUGAUUUGUGCUCUCUUGUGAACUCUUUGAAAGCCAUAUAAGUUGUUAGAUGCCUAACUUUCAUGUGAUUAAGAUGAUAUUUUACAUGCAAGGUCAUUACUCAUUAGAGCGUAGCUCCCCUAUAGUGUCAGACGUCUUCGGUUUGAAGAGAGAGAGAGAGAGUUGAUCAAGACGAGUUUGAUGAAUUUAUUGCCCCUACCAACCCUCCUUCCCCCCUGCCACUGGUAAUAAAUCGAGAGUUGACUUGUAUUUCUUAUGGGUUCCAUGCCCCCAAUGAAAGUUGCUGAAGCCAUUUUCCGAGGAACAAGUUGUCCAUUUCCUCCUAGACGGUGAUAGAUUAAUCUCUCUCAUUAGAAAAGAAUGAUUACGCGUGCUUCAUUUCUCUUUCUACAGCUAAACGUUUCUGUAUUUACAUCAAUGACUAACUCCUUUCAUUUGUGAUGGCCCCAUCAUUGUCUACCCUCUUAAAUGAGUGCAAGGCCAAUUUUAAAAAUAAUUAUAUAUAAGUUCUAUUAAUUAAUGAAACUACACUGGGGCUUUCUUCUUUAACACACUAUCAAUUGACAAACAUAGUCCAAUCAAUUCAUGAUUUGUGGUUUGGUCUAGGUAGUGGUGGAGCCACCCCAGGCCAAGGAGGGGCCAAUGCCCCUCUUGAAAAUUUUAAAAUCAUUGCUCAAAAAGGGGGUUGAACCCAUUCGUAAUUUCAAAGGCCCUAACAAAAAUAAAUUUUGAAAUCUUCCCCACCCCACCCACCCCCCUCCACUAGGUUUGGUUUCUCUUCAUGCUUAUCUCUUUUUUUUUUUAUAUAUAUAUAUAUACUGAAAUCUUAUUUCUUUAUAUCUUUAUUCAAAUAUUUAAAUUGUAUUACAUAAAUCAAGAGUCUAUGCUAAAAGUUUUGUAUGAUUAUCAUUUGGCACACCCAAAUAAUGACUUGUAGGUGAUGAGCUACAUCAAUUGAUUUUUCAAAUAAGACGGUGUGAAAGGAGUUUGUGUACGCACAUCACAGUCAAUGAUGACUUAGUGUACAACUUUAUAUGGAGUCCAGUAGCUGAUAUGGGUCUUGAUGAUAAUGUUUAUGAGAAAAUCAGACAACACACGCCUUGUCAUUUUCCGAUCUAUCACUGCCCCACCCCAACCCCCCACACUCUGGAAAGCGACAACUAAAAUCAACUUUAUUAUCGUCAUUCCUUAGGUGCCCCAUUCACAUUGAUGUGAAUCAUGUGAUAAUUAACUAAUCUUGGCAUAUAUCAACUUUAAUUUUAGACAAUAUUAAUGUAUAAUAUAUAUACAACAUAAUCUCUGGCAAAGCUCAUACCCAAACUCGUCCCCAUUUUGAAAAACAGAGAAAAGAAAUGGAUCACAAAAGAGAUGAAGAGAAUGGUUUGGAUGGAAACUACAAUUCAGUAGUGGAAACUGAACACAUGAAGGAGAAGGAGAAGGAGAAGGAGAACCAAGAAGAAGAAGAAGAGAUGUCGGUGGAGCGGCUUUUUGAAGGCAAGGAAGUACCAUCAUGGAGAGAACAGCUGACAGUGAGGGCCUUCGUGGUGAGGUUCGUGCUGUCAGUGCUCUUCACCUUCAUAGUGAUGAAACUCAACCUCACCACUGGCAUCAUCCCUUCCCUCAACGUCUCUGCGGGGCUCUUGGGUUUCUUCUUCGUCUCGGUUUGGACAAAGUUUCUUGACAAGUCUGGGCUCUUGAAGCAGCCCUUCACUCGACAAGAGAACACUGUUAUUCAGACUUGCGUCGUGGCCUCCUCUGGCAUCGCCUUCAGCGGUUUGUCUCCUUCACAUUUUCCUUUGCCUUUCCCUAACACUACCAUUACUUUAUGUUUGGCUAAAAAAAAAAAUUAUUUCUUCAUAAAAGAUUGAAAAUUUUGAUGAAAAAUUAUUGUUUAAUAAUUUAAUUUUUAAGAAACUAUAUUAAUAUAAAAUUAAUAAUUUUUCCCUUUUAAUUUUCUCAAUUUGCAGGUUUUUAAUUGUUUGAAUGUUUCCCCUUUUUUUUUCCUUCUGUUUUUGACUCUGGAAUGUUUUACACCCCACACACAGUACAACGUAAAAUUUGUUCAAGGACUUGCCAUGUGGUUUUGUGAGUUAGAGGACAAGGGUCCAAUGAUUUAAACUUUUAUUUUUAUUUUUUAUUGUUUUGGGCAUAUAGACCACAAGUACAUAUCCUUAUCUCUUAACACCCUUUUGCACUGUAUUUUCAUAUGCACCCACGUGCCAUAGGAUAAGAGUGCAAGAAGGGCCCGAUCAUCCAAAAAUAACUUUUAAAAAUAGCAGCUACCAUGUACUGGUCUAAAAAUUGUUUAAGUGGGAAUCUGUAUAUUCUUAAAAAUAAAUUUUAUUUUAUUUUAUUUUUUUUGUUUUCUUAUGCUCCUAAUAAAAAAUAAUAUAUACAAGUGAUGAUAGAUCCAAUUGACACCGCAUAAUGAAUUGAAAAAGUAGGGGUGAAAUUUGAAUUGAUUACCUCAACCCUACUUUAACCCAACAUGAUGUUUUAUUGGAAUUCAACAAACAUUUUUAAUACGAAGUUGAGUUAAGUUUUAUCAAUCCAAACUCAACUUUGGUUGGGCUGAGGUUAAGAUUUGAACUAUCCGAGUUUAACCUAAGCCCGAUUUAAUGUUUUUAUAAUAUUUAUAUUAUAUAUAAUAAUAUUCAUUUUUAAAAAAAAUUAAAGAAAAAUAUCAAAUUAUAAUUAUAUGAUAUAAUUUUUCAUUUUUUUUAGAAAGAUAUAUAAAUUUAUUUUUACAUUUUAUGGUUAUCUUGAAAUUUUGUGUUAUUUAUUAUUUAAAUCUUGGCAUAAAUAUAUAGAUUUUUUUUUUUUAAUAAAAAAACCACUAUAGAUGGAUUUUGAAUCAUGCAAUCCAAUCAACCUAACUAAUUCGAGUCUAACCCAGUUAAUCCAAGUCUAUACCCAAUCAAUUCGAGUCUAAUCCAAUCAAUCCGAAUUUAAUAUGAGUUAAAAAAAAUGAGGUUGAAUUAAGUUUGAGUUAAAUACCUCGAGUUAGAAAUCAAGUUGGGUUGAACUUGGGCUAAUUAUUUCUUAAUUUGUGCUGACCUCAUAUUAACCAUCAACCUGCCCAAAUUACAACCCUAUGAAAAAAGUACCUAAUUUUCUAUACAAGUCAAGGGAUUCUUAACAAAAGAUAUAUUAAAUUCUUAACAAGGGUUGCCAGACUUCUUAACUAGGUCUAACCCUUUUACUUCAUUUGUUAAACUCGUUUCCAUUUUAGUAUAUUUUUUUUCUUAGAAAAAAAAAGACCUAUUAUGCAAUGAGAUUGUGUUGUGAAUAGGAAUAGAGACGAAUCAAAAUACCAAAUACAAAAGAGAGGAAUGGAAGUAGAAUAAUUUUAUCUUUUUAUUCUUAUUUCUAAUAUACAAUCCAAAUGUAGUAGCAGUGAAUAAAAAAAUGAAAUAUAUUUUUCAUUUCUAUUUCCUGUUCUCAUAUAUUGAAUGCACCCAAAAAGGAAGCCGGGGUAGCUCAACAAGCAAUUAAUUUUGUAAGCCACUUGUUGUAUAUGAUCAUUAAUACCAAAAUAAUAAGCAAGUGUGAAGAUUGUUAGACCUAUGUGUAUAUAUAGAAAUGUUGAAUGUCUUGAUUUAUUGUGUAUAAAUAGGAGGUUUUGGAAGCUACCUUUUCGGAAUGAGUCAAGCUAUUGCUAAACAAUCUGAAAAUGCUGGAGGCAACGAGGAAUAUAAGAACCCAGCAGUAGCAUGGAUGAUUGGCUUUCUCUUUGUUGUUAGCUUUCUUGGCCUCUUUUCUGUCGUGCCUCUUCGAAAGGUUUGUCCUCCAAACUCACACUCAAUAACCAAGAAAAUUUACUGAAUUUAACUACUUGUAGGAUAUGCAUCGACAUUUAGAGUCCAUUUGAUAGUUUUCUAGGAAGCACUUUUAGUAUUUUUAUCACUUAGAAAAUUUUAUUUUUAAAAUAUUAAAAAUGUUAGAAACAAUUUUUAAAAUCACUAUCAAACAUACUUUUAAUUUUUCUCAAACUAAAUAUAGAAAGGGAGUUAGUCUGCAAUCUUGAUUUGUAUAGUAUGUUAUUGGUUUCAGAUCAUGAUUGUAGACUUCAAAUUGACAUACCCAAGUGGUACUGCCACUGCUCAUCUCAUCAACAGUUUCCACACUCCUCAAGGAGCCAAGUUGGCAAAGUAAGGCGCUACAUGGUUUGAUAUCCCUUAAGAUAUCUAGAUAGAAGAUAGGCAUAUGAAAAUUUGUGGAUUCUCAUUAAUUGUUUCUUGUAUUUGAUGGCUGUAGGAAACAAGUUAGAGUAUUGGGCAAGUACUUCUCCUUCAGCUUCUUGUGGGGUUUCUUCCAAUGGUUUUUUGCUGCUGGAGACGAUUGCGGAUUUGCAGGCUUCCCUACGUUUGGACUUAAAGCAUACAAAUACAAGUAUGCAAGUGUAACACCCUUCUAAGAUAGCAUUAAUAAUUGGUGUUGAUGCAUAUUAAUUAGUGAACAAAAGUUAUAACAAGUUAUUGAAAUUGUAUAGCAAAGAUUUUACAUUAAGUAACCUCAAUGUGCCAUGAUAUAGGCAUUAACUUGUUGAUAAGAAUUCCAUGUUAAGCAGCCUACUUAUAAUGAGUUUCAAUUCAUUUUGUGACUGAAAGUGCUUGUUUUGAUAAUUACAGGUUUUUCUUUGAUUUCUCGGCAACUUAUGUUGGAGUGGGGAUGAUUUGUCCGCAUAUAGUAAACAUAUCGCUGCUGGUUGGAGGAAUUCUUUCUUGGGGACUUAUGUGGCCGCUUAUAGAAACUAGAAAGGGUGAUUGGUACCCUGCAGACCUUCCCUCAAGCAACAUUCGUGGUCUUCAAGGUUACAAGGUCAUUAUCUAGUAGAAUGGCCAUAGGGCCAGUAUAUCAUAACCCCGUUACAGACUUCAUUUAUUUCUCACUAACAUUAUGUUAUGUCCUAAUACAGAUAUUCAUCGCCAUUGCAACAAUCCUAGGUGACGGGCUAUAUAACUUUUUCAAGGUACUGGGUCAAACUCUCUUGGGAUUGUUUUACCAACUCCAAUACAAAAAUAUGAGCGGUGUCCCACCCAUUGAGGAUCGCUCCUCUCCUAGGAGCUCAUCUACUUGUUACAAUGAUACUCGUCGGACACAAGUUUUCCUCAAAGAUCAAAUUCCAACAUCAUUUGCUAUUGGAGGGUACAUUGCAAUAGCUGCAAUCUCCAUGGCUACACUUCCUCACAUAUUUCCCCAACUCAAAUGGUACUACAUACUGGUUAUCUAUCUUGUUGCUCCUACCAUGGCGUUUUGCAAUGCAUAUGGGUGUGGGCUCACUGACUGGUCUCUUGCAUCCACCUAUGGGAAGCUUGCCAUCUUUAGCAUUGGAGCAUGGGCUGGAGCUGCACAUGGUGGAGUUAUAGCAGGCCUGGCAGCCUGUGGAGUUAUGAUGAACAUUGCAUCAACCGCUUCCGACCUAAUGCAGGAUUUCAAGACUGGUUAUCUAACCUUAGCUUCACCACGCUCAAUGUUUGUGAGCCAAUUCAUUGGUACUGCAAUGGGUUGUGUCAUCUCCCCUUGUGUCUUUUGGCUGUUCUACAAGGCUUUUGAUGACCUUGGGCAGAGUGGAAGUGAAUACCCUGCUCCUUAUGCUCUGGUCUUCCGCAACAUGGCUGUUCUUGGGGUAGAGGGCAUCUCCAAUUUACCAAAGAACUGUUUCACGCUUUGUUGUGUGUUUUUUGGUGCAGCAAUUCUCGUGAAUUUGGUUAGGGAUACUGUAGGUCGAAAGAGGGCGCAGUUCAUUCCAAUCCCAAUGGCAAUGGCAAUACCAUUUUAUCUGGGCCCUUACUUCGCCAUUGAUAUGUGUGUUGGUAGCUUAAUAUUAUUUAUAUGGCAAAGGAUAAACAAAGCUAAGGCAGAAGCUUUUGGACCUGCAGUAGCUUCUGGCUUGAUUUGUGGAGACGGACUAUGGACUUUGCCUAGUUCAAUUCUUGCUUUAGCAGGAAUAAAGCAACCAAUUUGCAUGAAGUUCCUGUCUAGGGCAACAAAUGCCAGGGUUGAUAAGUUCCUAGGGGCUUAAGACUAAUCAAAUUUUACCUAUGAAGGAUGAUCUGUAAGGUUGUACCAUGAAUCUCUUUACUAUUUUGUUUCUUUCCUUUUAGAUGAUGGCUAAGUUACUCCUAAUACAGAAUGUUUAUGGCAAUAGCAUUAUCUUCUCUUUUCUAUCCCAUUAAAAUCAAAGUUCUCAUCAAACGCAAUUGGACCUUGCUAUGGUACUAAAAAUUCACUUUUUGGUACAUACGAAAAGGUCGUACCCAAUCUUGAAUAGUCACAUUAUCAAUACAGUUACUUUUAUAUCUCAAAAUAGGAAAUUAGUCUUAAAAAGUAAAACUAAUUAAAAUUGUUUUAUUUUUUACUUUUAAUAAUUAAUUUCUAGACAUUUUAUGGAUGUUUUGUUUUUAUUUUUAUUUAUUUAUUUAAGAAUUGUCUUUAUAAGUAUUAUGCUAAAUUGAGAUAUAUUAAGGGUGUGUUUAUCACGUGGGAAUGGGGAAUUGUUUUCAUUCCUCUUCCCUUUUAAAUAAAAAUGAAUUUGGUAAUUUCAAUUCUUGUAUUUGGAUGCAUAUAGAAAUGUAAGAUUAGAAUAGUAAUUUGUUUUUAUUUCGAUUUUAAGUAAAAAUGAGAAUGAAAAUGAAAAAAAUAAAUAAAUUGUCAAUAAUAUCUAUACAUAUGGUGUAAAAUAUUUUUUAAUUUUAAUUUUAUUUUUAAAAAUCUUAUAUUGUAUAUAGUUUUAAAUAAUUUUCAUUUUUUUUGUUAAAUAAUAAAAACAUAUUUGGGCAUGUGAUUUUUUUAAAAAAAUAUUUAUAAAAAUUUAUACGAUUAUUUGGUUGUAGUUAUUUAAAAACAAAGUAAAAUAAAAAAUAAAAAAUGAAUUUCAAAUCAAGUGAGACUUUGUAUUGAAUUUAUUAAUAAGUUAAAUAAUUUGAAAAAAUAAUUUAAAACCAUAUGUAUAUAAAGACUAUAAAAAAAUAAUAAACAUAAUUAAUGUUUUAAAUUCUUAUUUUAAGAAUAAUUUGAAAUUCAAAAAAGUGAUUAAUUAAUCCUAGAUUAAAUAAAAUAACUCAAAAUGUUAUCUUCCUAGUUGAAUAAUAAAUUUAUGCAUAUAAUGAAAAAUUUGACUCAUUUAUACCUUAAAAAAUUAAAUUUUAUUUAUUUUUAUAUUCAUUUAAAAUAGAAUAGCAUUAGUAAUUAUUAUUUUUGAAUAAUUAUUCUUGUUUUUAACAAAAUAAAUUAAUUAUGCUUUUAUAAGAUGCUAAUAUUUAUAUUUUUAGGAUAUUUGUAAAAUCCUAUAAAUAGCAUUAGAAAUUAUUAAUUUUUAAUUUUUAUAAUUUAUUUUUAACAAAAUAAAUCAAUUAACAUUAAUAUCUAUAUUUUUAUAAUAUUUAUAAAAAAUAUAAUUUAUAAUUUUAUUACAUUAUCAAGUACUCAAAUUUUAUUAAAAAAGUAUUUAUUUUUAAUUAUUUUUUUUAUUUUUAAUAAGUUAUGAAUUAAAUUUAGUUUACAUUAUACAAAUUGAAUUUACAAUUUCUGCUUUUUACAAAAUCAAAAGAAAAAAUUAUUUUUAAAAACAACUUAUCUAAAAAGGUCUUUAGUUUUUUCAAUUAUUGAAUAAUAUUUUUAAAAAUAAUUUGCACCAUGGAUGUUUUGUUUUUAUAUAUUUUUUUAUUUAAGUAUUGUCUCUAUAAGUAUUAUGCUAAAUUUAGAUAUAUUAAUGGUGUGUUUGGCACGUGGGAAUGAGGAAUGAGAAUGAAUAUUGUUUUCAUUCCUCUUCCCUUUUAAAUAAGAAUGAAUUUGGUAAUUUCAAUUCUUAUAUUUGGAUGCAGAUAGAAAUGUAAGAUUAGAAUAAUAAUUUGGUUUUAUUUCGAUUUUACAUUGUAUAUAGUUUUAAAUAAUUUUCACUUUUUUUGCUGAAUAAUAAAAACAUAUUUGGGCAUGUGAUUUAAAAAAAAGAUUAUUUAUAAGAAUUUAUACGAUUAUUUGGUUGUAGUUAUUUAAAAACAAAUUGAAAUAGAAAAUCGAAAAUGAAUUUCAAAUCAAAUGAGACUUUGUAUUAAAUUUAUUAAUAAGUUAAAUAAUUUGAAAAAAUAAUUUAAAACCAUAUGUAUAUAAAGACUAUAAAAAAUAAUAAACAUAAUUAAUGUUUUAAAUUCUCUAUUUUAAGAAUAAUUUGAAAUUCAAAAAAAUAAUUAAUUAAUCCUAGAUUAAAUAAAAUAACUCAGCAUGUCAUCUUCUGAAUAAUAAAUUUAUGCAUAUAACGAAAAAUUUGAUUCAUUUAUAUCUUAAAAAGUUAUAACUCAGAAUGUCAUCUUCUGAAUAAUAAAUUUAUGCAUAUAAUGAAAAAUUUGACUCAUUUAUACCUUAAAAAGUUAAAUUUUAUUUAUUUUUAUAUUCAUUUAAAAUAGAAUAUAAUUAGUAAUUAUUAAUUUUGAAUAAUUAUUCUUGUUUGUAACAAAAUAAAUUAAUUAUGCUUUUAUAAGAUGCUAAUAUCUAUAUUUUUAGGAUAUUUAUAAAAUCAUAUAAAUAGUAUUAGAAAUUAUUAAUUUUUAACAAAAUAAAUCAAUUAAUAUUAAUAUCUAUAUUUUUAUAAUAUUUAUAAAAAAUUUAAUUUAUAAUUUUAUUACAUUAUCAGUACUCAUAGUUUAUUAAAAAGUAUUUAUUUUUAAUUACUUUAUUUUAUAUUUAAUUAGACAUGAAUUAAAUUUAGUUUACAUUAUACAAAUUGAAUUUACAAUUGACUUUUUACAAAAUCAAAAUAAAAAAAUUAUUUUUAAAAACAACUUAUCUAAAAAAGUCUUUAGUUUUUUAAUUUUUGAAUAAUAAUUUUAAAAAUAACUUGCACUAGGGAAUUAAAAUAUCUCCUACUUAGGAUGAAUUGAAAUCCCACUUUUAAGCUGGAUUUCAUUUCCAUUGGAAUCAGUUUUGAUUUUUAUUUCUAUUAACAUUUAAGUUUAUUCAAACAUGAAAAUAAAGGAAAAAAAAAUGAAUGAGAUACGCAUUCCUACUCUAUAUUCCCGUAUACCAAACACAUCCUAAUUGUAUAUUGUUAAGGUAUAUGAGUGUAUAUAAAAGAUAUAAACCAUUACUUCUUUGUAAUUUGAUAAAUUAUUCACAAGUAUUAAUCAAUUUGGGCGGUCCACUAUUAAGUAUAGUAUAUCACCUUCCUUAAUUGGAGAAAUGACAUACCUAAAUUAUUAGAAUUGGAUUCCAAGUUGCAUGUGCUAAUGUAUAUGUAUUAUAAAUUGUAUAGGAACUAAUGAGAUGAAUGUCUUAAAAGCUAUACCAAUUAGAUAUACAAUAUCUCUAUGCUACUAUAUUAUGUAUGUUAUGAAUCUUAAAAAGAUAUUGGACUGAUGAUUAAAUUAUUAAUUAGUUUAACUUUAUAUGUGAAUGACAUUCUAAAAGAAUUAUAUAUUCUCUUUUAACUUAGGGAACCGAUAAUUUAAUAGGUAGUAACAUAUAUAUUUUCAGUAUUAGGCAACAUGAUAUCUUGACCAUAGACAUAGUUAACUUGUAUCGAGUCAAGUAAUCCAAAAUUAAUGAUCAUAUAUAUUAAGUUCAUGGUCAUGGAACUUAUCCUUAUGGAUAAGGACAUACCAAAUGAUCAUAGAAAAAUAUAGAUUUGUAACCAAAGGAAUAAAGAUAUAAUUCAAAAGGUAUCUGACUUCAUUCUAUUUGGAUUACGAAGAUCAGUUUAGAAGGAACAACAUAUAAUAAGUAUAUUAGAUCUCAUAUAAAAGUUGACUAUUUUCUUUAAUUUAAUUAUCAUAAAUUACUAUUAUGUAGUCAAUCUAUGUUUUUUUCUUUUAGGACAAUGAAGGUUAAUUGUAAUAUUUUUGAAAAAUUCUUUAGGAGCUACUUUCUUCUAUUCGUCUUGUUCGUCCCCAUCCGAUCCAUUAAUUCAUUUUUUUUAAAUUAUAUUAUAGAAAGGAAAUAGUAAAAUAAGGGUGCACUAUGAGGAUGUAAGUUAUCGCUUGUUCUAAUGCUAUUUUUAAAAGCAUUGGAUGAUGUGGUGAAACUUCACUCUUUUAUUAUUUGAAGAUGGCUUACAAUUUUAUAUAUACAAUCUUAGAAAAAGAAAACAAAGGAAAUGUAAAAAUUAGUGCAAGAUGUAGGGACCCCUCCCCUUGGGAAACACGUGGCACGCAGCUCAUGGUGACGCGUGGCAACGUGUUAUCAGCCGGACCAUCAUCAUCCGGGUUCCCCUAAAGAUAUGCAUGGUGCGGCUAUCCUAUCCGGAACCCCUCAAGGAAAGACAAACGACGUUUCAAGCUUCUCCUAUCCAAGGAAGAGCAAACGACGCUGGCAGAGCGUAGACACCCGGAUAGUCUCCACAACACAUCCGAAUAUUCAGCAUGAUCCAUCCGGAUAUAAAUCGUCUGGAUGGUCAAUUAAAGUAAAGCGAGUCUUACACGCAAUCACAACAAGCAGCCAUGGCCCACAUCCCAUCACCUGCAGAAUGAGAAGACAAGAGGAAGUGACAGCAAGUCACCUCCCACGAUCAUUCUACAUAAUCGCUUCCCACGAUCUCUAACAGCCGCAUCACCUACCAUGGUCUCUGACAGCCAUUCGUAGGAUGAUAGUGCUCCUACUAACACCUAUUGUCAUCAUCACAACAGAAAAUAUCUCCUCACCAUUAAUGAGAGGAACAGUACCCCUGAAGCUGGAUAUAUAUGCCUUCGCAUGAAGAAGAAAGGAGGAUCUCCUGGUAACCUCUUGAUACCUAGUAAAAGGCCAACUGCCUCAUAUAUCUUACUCUCUUACUAUGGCUAACAACAUCAUCGGAGGGUGCAUCCGGACACCCUGUCCGGAUGCCUUUUUUGCAGGUACAACCACUGAAUCAAGAACCCCUUGUGUGUUGAGAAUCGCGUGUCCAUCCAUUUAGCAGCAACGUGGACCACCGGAUACGCGAGGUGACAACAUUGGCGCCGUCUGUGGGAAACUUUUACUUUUUAUUUUGAUUCAGUCACUAGCAAAGAUGGCCACACCUUCCCAAAGUCGAUCAUCUGGUAGAGAGGAAGAAGAUAAUCACGAAUGGCGUCAAGCCAUCGAAAAAAGACAGUUGGCGAGCGAAAAACAGCUAAGAGCUCUCCUCCAGGAGACGGAGAGGUUAAGGGAAGAAAACGCUGUGUUACGCAUUCAAGCCUCAACAUCAGGACCUCCUCGUCGUCAGCGCUCAAAAGGCCAGGUGGCAAACUCAAGGCCAGAGCCAGAAUCAAUAUAUCUUGGGUCAACAGGAGCUGUCCCAGGAACAUACAACGCAAGGCCCCAUGAGCCACGCACACCCAUGCCUCGAGCUCCCCGUGAGGAAAGCUCAGAUUCCACUCAUUUUUCAGCAAAAAGAUAACGUGAUAGAAAAUCACAGUUGUCAAGUUCUAUGCGCGCAAGACUAGGCCCACAAGAGCCUGGGAGAUCAAGGCCACCAGUAGCCACAACCCGGGCGCCACGCCCCGAUCCUAUGAUUGCUCCCAUGGUGCAGAAAGUACCUCCGCAUCGUGACCCCAUGGUCACCCCAGCGAUGCGGAACGUUCACUCACACCUAGCGGAACGACCAGCUGGGAGAAACCUCCCAAACGAGCCACCCAUUGGCUCCAUCAGCAAAAGGCUGGAUGACAUGCUCUCCACGCCCUUUUGCUCUCAUAUCACCCAUUAUGAGCCCCCAAGAGGAUUCCUCGUACCAAAGUUUUCCACAUACGAUGGGACCAACGAUCCCUUCGAUCACAUCAUGCACUAUCGACAGCUUAUGACGCUCGAUAUUGGCAACGAUGCAUUAUUAUGCAAAGUAUUCCCCGCCAGCCUUCAAGGGCAGGCCCUCUCAUGGUUUCAUCGCCUACCUCCUAACUCUGUUGACAAUUUCAGGGACCUCUCUGAAGCAUUCGUGGGACAGUACUUAUGCUCUGCUCGACACAAGCAGAAUAUCAGCACCCUCCAGAACAUAAAAAUGAGAGACAACGAAUCCUUGAGGGAAUUUGUGAAACGAUUUGGCCAAGCCGUACUCCAAAUAGAGGUUUGCAGCAUGGACGCUGUCCUACAGAUCUUCAAAAGAAGCAUCGUCCAGGCACCCCAUUUUUCGAAUCGCUGGCAAAAAAGCCUCCUACAACGAUGGACGAUUUGUUCAGACGUGCUAACAAAUAUUCAAUGCUCGAAGAUGACGUGCGUGCAGCCACUCAGCAAGUUUUGGUUGCCGGACGGGCUUCUAGAGAUAACGCGGACAGACAUGCCAAACCUCCGGACCGUCCAAAACCAGUUGACCGGAGACAGGACGGGCCGAGUCGUCCGGAUAGGCCGCCCGUCACACCCCUAUCCGUAUCAUACGAAAAACUUCUCCCAAUGAUCCAAGGGUUGUCCGACUUCAGGUGGCCUAGACCCCUCGAAACGGACCCAUCUAUAAGAGACCGCAGCAAGAAAUGCGCCUUCCACAAAUACCAUGGUCAUACAACAGAGACAUGUCGGUCCCUCCAGUAUCUAGUUGAAAGGCUCAUCAAAGCAGGACAUUUAAAACAGUACCUCCGCUCAGAUACUGGAGGAAGGGACGCAUCACAGCAUCAUAACUCUGGGGCCCCGAGGGCCCCAGUCGCCCCCAAGGCUGUCAUAAACUAUAUCAACGGGGGCCCAUCUGACGAGGAAUACGAUUCCAGGCGGAAAAGACAGAAAUUGCUGCGAGCCGCGUCAAUACGCGAACGCAUUAAUUCCAUCCGGCCGGGUCUUACUGGGGAGGGCCCUCGCCCCAUUGAUGGGACAAUCAUUUUCCCACCAAUAGAUCCCACCCGGACGCUACAGCCACAUCGCGACGCCCUCAUCCUCUCUCUAGAAAUAGGAGAUUUUGAUGUAAGACGUAUCUUGGUUGAUCCAGGCAGUUCAGCCGAUCUAGUACAAGCAUCAGUCAUUGGCCAUAUGGGACAUAGUCUCGCGGGUCUCGAAAACCCCGGACGAAUCUUAUCCGGAUUCAACGGAUCAUCAACAACAUCCUUAGGAGACAUUAUACUGCCGGUUCGAGCUGGACCAGUCACUCUCAACGUGCAAUUCUCGGUGGUGCAAGAAUUGUCACCCUUCAAUGUCAUCUUGGGACGCACAUGGCUUCACUACAUGAAAGCCAUCCCUUCCACAUAUCAUCAAAUGGUGAGUUUCCUCACCAACGAAGGGCAAACUGACUUGUAUGGCAGCCAGUUAGCCGCUCGCCAGUGCUACCAAAUAGCACGUGAAGCAGUCGCUAACCAGGAGGAUGCAUCUCCCCCUGAACCUAGCAUUGCGCACGACCAAUAGCAAUUAUUGGGUCCGGUGGACAAGGAUCCCCCGGCAGCAGAUCCCUUACAAACAAUCCAAAUCUCAGAAGAGAAUGAUCACCUCACAAACAUCAGUUCCCUCAUGACACAAGAAGAAACCCAGAGCAUACAAAAUAUCCUUCGAAGCAACCAUGACAUCUUCGCAUGGACACAUUCGGAUAUGAAGGGAAUUCAUCCCUCUAUCGCCUCUCACAAGCUUAAAGUCUUUCCAGCAGCCAGACCCAUUCGACAGAAGAUUAGACGCUUUCACCCGGAUAGACAAAGAGUUAUCCAAGAUGAAAUUAACAAAUUGUUGGAAGCCGGGUUCAUCAGAGAGGUAUCUUAUCCGGAUUGGUUGGCAAAUGUAGUAGUGGUACCAAAGAAAGAGGGCAAAUGGCGAGUCUGUGUUGAUUACACCAAUCUCAAUAAUGCAUGUCCAAAAGACAGUUUUCCCUUACCACGGAUAGAUCAAAUUGUGGAUUCCACUUCCGGGCAAGGGAUGCUCUCUUUCUUGGAUGCCUUCUCCGGAUAUCACCAAAUUCCCAUGUCUCCGGAUGACGAAGAAAAAACAGCAUUCAUAACGCCACACGGCCUCUAUUGCUACAAAGUCAUGCCAUUUGGACUCAAAAACGCUGGCGCCACGUAUCAAAGAUUGAUGACUAAAAUCUUCAAACCUCUGAUAGGCCGCUCGGUCGAGGUAUACAUUGACGAUAUCGUGGUUAAAAGCAAAACUCGAGAGCAGCAUAUCCUCCAUUUACAAGAAGUUUUUUACCUCUUGCGAAAGUAUGGCAUGAAGCUAAAUCCUUCCAAAUGUGCCUUUGGCGUGAGUGCUGGCAAGUUUCUGGGAUUUAUAGUCAGCCAAAGAGGCAUAGAAGUCAGCCCGGAUCAAGUCAAAGCAGUCAUGGAGACACCUCCUCCCAGGAACAAAAAGGAGUUACAACGCCUCACAGGCAAGCUCGUUGCGUUAGGGCGUUUUAUAGCCCGCUUCACUGAUGAGUUGCGACCCUUCUUCUUAGCGAUACGAAAAGCUGGAACGCAGGGAUGGACGGACAAUUGCCAAAACGCGUUGGAAAGAAUUAAACAUUGUCUUAUGCAUCCACCCAUCUUGAGCAGCCCCAUCCCAAAGGAGAAGCUAUAUAUGUAUCUAGCUGUCUCAGAAUGGGCAAUCAGCGCCGCUCUAUUCCGCUGCCCUUCACCAAAGGAGCAGAAACCUGUCUACUAUGUCAGCAGGGCAUUGGCAGAUGUAGAAACCAGGUAUUCAAAAAUGGAGCUAACAGCCUUAGCUCUUCGAAGUGCUGCCCAAAAGCUCCGCCCCUAUUUUCAAGCCCACCCAGUGAUUGUACUAACCGACCAACCCCUUCGUAGCAUUCUACACAAACCAGAUUUAACUGGGCGAAUGCUACAAUGGGCCAUCGAAUUGAGCGAAUUUGGAAUCGAAUUCCAACCCAGAUUAUCCAAAAAAGGCCAAGUAAUGGCCGACUUUGUGCUCGAAUAUUCACGAAGACCCAACCAGCACCACGAAUCAAGUGAACAGGACUGGUGGACACUACGAGUUGACGGAGCCUCACGCUCAUCAGGCUCUGGAGUUGGGCUCGUAUUACAGUCCCCAACUGGGGAACAUCUGGAGCAAGCCAUCCGGCUGGGAUUCUCCGCGUCUAACAAUGAGGCAGAAUACGAGGCCAUCCUGUCCGGAUUGGACCUCACCCUUGCUCUAUCCGUCUCCAAACUCCGGAUCUACAGCGACUCGCAACUAGUGGUAAGGCACAUCCAGAAAGAAUAUGAGGCUAAGGACUUACGCAUGGCGCGAUACUUGGCCAAAGUAAGAAGCACCUUACAGCAAUUCAACGAGUGGACAAUCGAAAAAAUUAAGCGAGCUGACAAUAGGCACGCUGACGCUUUGGCCGGCAUAGCUGCCUCUCUACCUAUCAAAGAAGCCAUUCUAUUGCCCAUACAUGUGCAAGCCCAUCCCUCUGUCGCAGAAAAUUCCACUUGCAACACCGUUGAAGCAACCCAAACGGAUAAUCAAGAAUGGACGCAUGAUAUUGCAGAAUAUCUCCGGACAGGCACUUUACCCAAAGAUCUUAAACAAGCGCACAAAAUCCGGGUGCAGGCUGCCCGCUUCACCCUGAUCGGGGGGCACCUGUACAAGCGAUCUUUCACAGGGCCUUAUCUUCGCUGUCUUGGGCAUUCAGAGGCCCAGUAUGUGCUAGCUGAAUUACAUGAAGGAAUAUGCGGAAAUCAUACGGGAGGACGAUCCCUAGCACAUAGAGCUCAUUCACAAGGGUACUAUUGGCCAACAAUGAAGAAAGACGCGGCAGCAUAUGUCCAAAAGUGCGAUAAAUGUCAAAGAUACGCUCCCAUUCCACGCAUGCCAUCAGCCGCAUUAAAAUCGGUCUCAGGCCCAUGGCCUUUCGCGCAAUGGGGCAUGGACAUUGUAGGACCCCUCCCAGCAGCACCUGCCCAGAAGAAAUUCCUCCUUGUCGCCACUGAUUACUUCAGUAAAUGGGUAGAAGCUGAAGCAUAUGCAAGCAUCAAAGAUAAAGAUGUCACCAAAUUCGUAUGGAAGAACAUUGUUUGCCGCUUUGGAAUUCCCCAAAUCAUCAUAGCUGACAAUGGUCCACAAUUUGACAGCAUUGCAUUCAGGAAUUUCUGUUCGGAAUUGAAUAUCCGGAAUUCAUACUCCACGCCACGUUAUCCUCAAAGCAAUGGCCAGGCGGAAGCCACAAACAAAACUCUAGUCAAUGCCUUAAAGAAAAGGCUGGAGCAAGCCAAAGGGAAGUGGGUGGAGGAACUACCCGGCGUCCUGUGGGCCUAUCGAACCACACCCGGACGACCAACAGGAAAUACUCCUUUUUCCCUCACAUAUGGAAUGGAUGCAGUCAUUCCCACUGAAAUAGGUCUUCCUACUAUCCGGACUGAUGCAGCAAAGCAAAAAGACGCCAACACGGAACUAGCAAGAAAUUUGGACUGGGCAGAUGAAGUCAGAGAAAGCGCGUCCAUCCUGAUGGCAGAUUAUCAACAAAGGGCAUCAGCGCAUUACAAUCGAAAAGUCAGGCCCAGAAACUUCAAAAAUGGUACGCUAGUACUUAGAAAAGUUUUUGAAAAUACUGCUGAAGUAGGCGCAGGAAAGUUCCAAGCCAAUUGGGAAGGACCUUACAUAGUGUCUAAGGCAAACGAAAAUGGAUCCUAUCAUUUACAAAAGCUAGAUGGCACUCCGUUACUCAGACCAUGGAAUGUGUCCAAUUUAAAGCAGUACUAUCAGUAAAAAGUAUACACAAGUGCAAAUGAGAAAGAAGUAUGUUUUAUUGAUAUGAAUAAAUGUAAUUACAAAGAGAUCUCCGGACCACAAAAAAAUACAGAAGGAAAAAUUACAGCAGAAAAAUUGCAAAAAGGGAUAAACUAUCAGGGAGCGGGCUUCUCAUGGAGCUUCUUUUCUUCACCCGGAGGAAUUGAAGGGGUAUCUCGCUUAAUGCCGUUCUUCUUCAUGCAGCAGCGAUACCCAAAGAUAAACGUAUCAUCCACUUGUUGCUGGUAAUCCGCUGCAAGUUCCUCUCUUUCCACAGCAAACUCCCGUUCAAGUUCCUCUUUUUGCACUUCCAGACGCAGCUGCAAGUCUUCCUUCUGUUUCUUUUCAUUCGAAACCUCGGUCCGGAGUUGACUCACUUCAUCCCUCAGCCGGGCUGCCUCACCCUCCGCCUCAUGUAGGCGACCCGCAGUUGAUUCUUCGCGAUUCUUCGCCUCAGCCAGCUCCGCUCGGAGGGCUUCAUUUUCCUCUCGCAUGGUGGAUAAAUUGGCCUCAGCCUCCUCCAUUCUCAGACGCAGCUGAUUUUCAAUCUCUUGGCGCCGAGAGGAGAAGGUCCUCAUAUAGUCUGCAGUCUGCAGCAGCUGAGUAAAAAGAUCGUGUUGUUGAGACAUGCUGCGGAGGCCCCUCACCAGCUGACACACAAACAAGAAAAGCAAAAACAUAAAUCAUACUACAACAAACACAUCAAUGCAACAAAAAGUCAAAAAGCAAAAACACAAGACAACGGUGUACCGUUUCUAUCAUAUCAAACAUCUUAGCAGAGGGCUUGAUGGCUUUCCAGUCAGGAGUAAUCUGCUUUAACUUAACUUCCAACUCCGCGUAGCUGAAAGGGCUAGCGGGAGCGGCAUCGUCAGCAGAUUCCUCCUCGGAUGAGGAAGGAGAGGGUAGUUCGUGUCCCGGAAUCGGAACCCCCAUAUUUUCGUCCGGGCACAUAGGUCCGGAUGCAUCCUCAGCCGGAAUUAUUGCCGGAGCGGCUGAGGUCUCAGUAGCCAUCUCCACCUCGCCUUCAUCCGGAUGAGCGUCAUGGGCNNNNNNNNNNNNNNNNNNNNNNNNNNNNNNNNNNNNNNNNNNNNNNNNNNNNNNNNNNNNNNNNNNNNNNNNNNNNNNNNNNNNNNNNNNNNNNNNNNNNUCAUCCACUUGUUGCUGGUAAUCCGCUGCAAGUUCCUCUCUUUCCACAGCAAACUCCCGUUCAAGUUCCUCUUUUUGCACUUCCAGACGCAGCUGCAAGUCUUCCUUCUGUUUCUUUUCAUUCGAAACCUCGGUCCGGAGUUGACUCACUUCAUCCCUCAGCCGGGCUGCCUCACCCUCCGCCUCAUGUAGGCGACCCGCAGUUGAUUCUUCGCGAUUCUUCGCCUCAGCCAGCUCCGCUCGGAGGGCUUCAUUUUCCUCUCGCAUGGUGGAUAAAUUGGCCUCAGCCUCCUCCAUUCUCAGACGCAGCUGAUUUUCAAUCUCUUGGCGCCGAGAGGAGAAGGUCCUCAUAUAGUCUGCAGUCUGCAGCAGCUGAGUAAAAAGAUCGUGUUGUUGAGACAUGCUGCGGAGGCCCCUCACCAGCUGACACACAAACAAGAAAAGCAAAGACAUAAAUCAUACUACAACAAACACAUCAGUGCAACAAAAAGUCAAAAAGCAAAAACACAAGACAACGAUAUACCGUUUCUAUCAUAUCAAACAUCUGAGCAGAGGGCUUGAUGGCUCUCCAGUCAGGAGUAAUCUGCUUUAACUUAACUUCCAACUCCGCGUAGCUGAAAGGGCUAGCAGGAGCGGCAUCGUCAGCAGAUUCCUCCUCAGGUGAGGAAGCAGAGGGUAACUCUUGUCCCGGAAUCGGAACCCCCAUAUCUUCGUCCGGACACAUAGGUCCGGAUGCAUCCUCAGCCGGAAUUAUUGCCGGGGCGGCUGAGGUCUCAGUAGCCAUCUCCACCUCGCCUCCAUCCGGAUGAGCGUCAUGGGCAGAAGCGCAGCUAAUUUCAAUCUCUUGCUGCCGCUCUUGAAGCCGCUCAAAGAGUCCGGACUGUAGAUCGCGCGUCAAACGCGGCUUCUUGAGGGGAGACCCUUUCACCAGGACUAUGGCUAGGCGAUCCGGGUCGUCGGAAGGCUGACUUUGGCUUUCUGCUCCCGCUUCCUCCAACGGGGCCGUUUCAGCUGCAUCAGCAUCCGGAUUAAGGUUGCCCGGACGGUUGAUAGAUGCAGCUUCCUCAGCCACGUUAGCCAGACGCGCAGCCGCGACCAAGGAAGGACCUGAGUGAUUCAACCCCGACAUGCGUCCGGGGCCGCUUGAGAUAGAGUGCGGAGCAGCAUUUACUGGCUCCUCUAUCAUUACUUCCCCCUCAUAGGUAGUUUGGGGAGGAGGAAACUCCUUGGGAGGAGUGGGUUCCUUCAUGUCCUUCCCAUGCUUCUUCACCAGCUUCCCCCUUUUUCCUGAAGUUUUCUUUGGAGGAGAGUCCGGACCCCGCUUCUGUCCGGGAGCCUUCCGGAUAAUGCCUUCAGUUUUUUUCUGAUCUCUAUCCUCCAGGAGCUUUCGCCGCCUUUCAGCGUCAGCCUCUUUAGCUUCCUGAUAGAGGGGGAGCUCCUUCACAGUAUAAUGCUCCCCAGGCACUAUCUCAUCCUUUGCCAGUUUCCUAGGAAGAAUAUUGAUAACAUAUUCCUGGGGCUCCCGGACGACCUCUAUCAGAUUCCGCGCGGAAAGCAAUGUUUUGUAGGCCCUCUCCUUGGGGUCUAUUUCGAAUAAUUUGCAGACGCAGGCAAAGGACGCCUUUUCCACCCAAUCCACAAGGUGGCCCCUCAAUUCCAAACCUGCAUUGUCAGCAACAAAAGGUGAGAAUUCCGUCCGGAAAAAUCAGAAAAAAUCAGCAAAGCAAAAUCCGGACAUAAAAAAAAGUCGCAAAACAAGAUUACCCGGAAUUUUUAAGGUAUAAUUCGGAGAAAAAGGCCUCGACGGAUGCUGCGAUAGCCCCGCCCAUCCACCCCAGACUGCCACCAGCCCCUUCGCCCCUCCCUUUGUCGAAUCUGGCAGUUCUGUCACCAUUUGAAGGGAGGGCAGGUGAGCGGACACACUGAAGAUAUCAUUCUUUGCUUUCUGCAGGGAAUAGACAAAGAACAACUCCAGUAGCGUAAGGUCGAGGCUGUACAGCAUGUUGAUGAUGCUGCAUCCCAUCAGCACCCGGACAAGGUUGGGAUGAAUGAAGAUGGGUGGAAUCUGAGAGAAGUGGAGGAAUUCCUUGAACAACGACGGCAGAGGGAACCGGAGCCCCGCGUUGAAUUGUUCCUUUGUGAAGAGGAUAACGUUUUUUCCACCUUUCUCAGUAGGCAUAGCCGCCUCCUCGUUCACCAAGUCUAUCAAUACGUCAUGGGGGAUGCGGAAUCGUUCCCGGAACUCCUUCGCAUUUAGUUUAUCUAUCGCCUUUUCGCCAGCCUCGCUAACCCGGACAGACGAAACAGUCUUUUUUGGAGCCAUUUCUUACCACAAAGCCAAAGCAAAAUCUACACGCAAAAUCAAUGCAAAUGGUUCAAACCAAGCAAUCAGAAAAUACACAAACCCUAACCCAAAACAGUCAGAAAAACCCCCUCAAAAACCCCUCCAAACAACAACAAAGUACCAACAUUCAACAACAAUUGGAAACGACUCGUCCAAAACAACGCCCAAGCAAGCCAGAAAACAAAUUUAAAGAGCCAGCAAAUGCAACCAAAGGAAUGUCAGUAGCAAAGAGGUACGUACCAAAUAGAGCUCUGAAGAAGAAGAACGGUUACUCUCUCGGUAUAAAAUCACCGACAACAAACAAGCGAGGUCGUUCGAAGUUUUUCUCAGAAAAGCAAAGGACGCAGGAAAAAGUAAGAAGAAGGAAGGCUCUCAAGAGAAUGCAGUAGAAAAAAUACAAAAAGAGGUACAGUGCCCUAUUUAUAGCAGGACAGCCCCUCGGAAAGCCAAACCAACAGCCAUGUUAUCAUUGAAACGACAUAUUGCCUGGGGAUACACAGGGUCGGCGGCUCGCCAUAAAUGCCUUUUUUGGCUUCCGCACCCCCACUCGCCACGUGGCCAAGUUAGACGAAUGGACUUUUUCAAUUUUCAAAAACCCAGUUAUUUUUAACCCGCCCAUUUUUUGGGCAAAAUAGGCAAGUUAAAAAGGGGGGCAAUGUAGGGACCCCUCCCCUUGGGAAACACGUGGCACGCAGCUCAUGGUGACGCGUGGCAACGUGUUAUCAGCCGGACCAUCAUCAUCCGGGUUCCCCUAAAGAUAUGCAUGGUGCGGCUAUCCUAUCCGGAACCCCUCAAGGAAAGACAAACGACGUUUCAAGCUUCUCCUAUCCAAGGAAGAGCAAACGACGCUGGCAGAGCGUAGACACCCGGAUAGUCUCCACAACACAUCCAGAUAUUCAGCAUGAUCCAUCCGGAUAUAAAUUGUCUGGAUGGUCAAUUAAAGUAAAGCGAGUCUUACACGCAAUCACAACAAGCAGCCAUGGCCCACAUCCCAUCACCUGCAGAAUGAGAAGACAAGAGGAAGUGACAGCAAGUCACCUCCCACGAUCAUUCUACAUAAUCGCUUCCCACGAUCUCUAACAGCCGCAUCACCUACCAUGGUCUCUGACAGCCAUUCGUAGGAUGAUAGUGCUCCUACUAACACCUAUUGUCAUCAUCACAACAGAAAAUAUCUCCUCACCAUUAAUGAGAGGAACAGUACCCCUGAAGCUGGAUAUAUAUGCCUUCGCAUGAAGAAGAAAGGAGGAUCUCCUGGUAACCUCUUGAUACCUAGUAAAAGGCCAACUGCCUCAUAUAUCUUACUCUCUUACUAUGGCUAACAACAUCAUCGGAGGGUGCAUCCGGACACCCUGUCCGGAUGCCUUUUUUGCAGGUACAACCACUGAAUCAAGAACCCCUUGUGUGUUGAGAAUCGCGUGUCCAUCCAUUUAGCAGCAACGUGGACCACCGGAUACGCGAGGUGACAACACAAGAGUUAUGUAACUAAUCACUUUACAAAAGGUAGUAAUGGAUUUAAAAUUCUUUUGGCUUUGAAUAUGGGAUUCUCAUGCAUAUAGCCACAGAUUUUGCAAAGUUUGACCCCAAUAGUUGCCUUUCUCUAUUCAUGCAUGGGACGAUGGGCUAUUGUUAAGCUUGGAUUACUAAUAUUUAGGCCAUUAAAAUUGCUUCAUUAAGCUCUAAACAGAUUUGAUUGAUUAAUUUUAUUCAUUGUAUAUCUCAAAAUAGAAAAUUAGUCUUAAAAAAGUAAAAUUAAUUUAAAUUGUUUAUUAUUUUUAAUAAUUAAUUUAUAGACAUUUUAUUGAUGUUUUUAUUUUUUAUUUAAGCAUUGUCUUUAUAAAUAUUAUGCUAAAUUGAGGUACAUUAAGGAUGUGUUUGGCAUACGAGAAUGAGGAAUGAGAAUGAAUAUUGUUUUCAUUCCUCUUUCCUUUUAAAUAGAAAUGAAUUUGGAAAUUUCAGUUCUUGUAUUUGGAUGCAUUUAGGAAUGUAAGAUUAUAACAAUAAUUUGUUUCUAUUUUGAGAAAACAAAGGCUAAUCUAAUUAGGAAAACACCUAAAAGGGGGGGGGGAGUGAAAUAGGUUUUUUUAAAAAAAAUUUCAAACACAAUAAAUUCAAGGUAAAGAAGCACAAAUAUAAAGAGAUAGAAUUAGAGAAAGAAAACAUAGAUUUUAUAGUGGUUCAACACCCCUUGCAUAUAUCCACUCUCCUCAAGUUCCUAACUGAGUGAGGGUUUCACUAUUCUUGAAGCUUUAACCAAUUCAACACCUUUACACUUGGAUUUCGACUCCAAUAGGCUCUUACAUAAUCCCUUCAAGUCUCUACUCACUUAAAACUUUUAACACUCACAAAAACACACAAAGUACAUAUCAAAACCUCUCAACCAAGCUCAAUAAAGGCUCAAAUAUAACUCAAAUGCUAGGAAGAAUGACAAGUGUGCACUAAAGAAUAUGCAAGUGAUGAUUUAAUACACCAAGGAAAGAAUGAGAGCUUUUAGGUGAAGAACAAGUACUUAAAUAUUUGAAUGCAAGUGUUCUCAUGUUUAAAAAUGAAGUAGAGCUCUAAAUUUAUAGUUUUCUAUCUUUGGAAGCCAAAAUGCUAAAAAACAACCUCAACCGGUCAAACUAGGGGUCGAUCGAUUGACUAUUGAUGGACAAUAAAUGCAUGGCAGGUGACUGUUGGGUUUUUAGUAGACCUUGAUCGAGAGAACCUACCUAUCAAUCGGGAAUGCAAGGCUACUGGAAGAGAUAAUAUUUUUGCCUCUCUCGAUCGGUCAUUGACCGGGAAAGCAUAACCGGUCGACCGGUACUUUAAUCGGUUGAACUGAUUGACCAGUCCCUUGAUCGGUUCACCUAUUUUGGCCCAAAAACCUAUCUUUUUCUAUUCCUUUUACUUCUAACACUUAGGCAUAAUCUUUAGGUCAAUGAAUAUGUCAAAUUUAAAAUGAUUUGCCUACAUAUGUUAAAACUUAGGUUUUAAUGGAAAUUUAACUUUAAGGAAUAAAUCGAGUUUUUAAAGAUGCACAAAAAGAUAUAAAUAUCCUAAGUGCACUCAUGCAUUCAUUUUACAAAUGUUUCCUAGGAUUAAAAGGUCUUCCAUAUGUCUCAAUUUUACAUCCAUUGAGUCUUUUUGAAGAAUUUCUUGGAUAUCCUUUUGAAUUUCCAAACUAAAACCUGAAAUUCUUUAUAAUUCAAACCAAUUAAUAAUUUAACCAUGGUUUGUUAUCAUUAAAACAUGAUUAGGAGAACCCUUGGGCUAACAUAUUCCAAUGUUAAGUAAAAAUAGGAAUGAAAAAUAAAUAAAUUGUCAAUAAUAUCUAUACACAUGGUUUAAAAUAAUUAUUUUUAUUUAAAAAAAUCUCACAUGGUAUGCAAUUUGAAAUAAUUUUCAUUUAAGAAAAUUCUUGAGAGUUUUUUUUUUUUUUUUGCUAAAUAAUAAAAACCUAUUUGGGCAUAAUAUUUUUAAAAGAAAUUAUUUAUAAAAAUUUAUACUACUAUUUGGUUGUUUGUUCUUUAAUAAUAGUUUUUAAAAACAAAGUAAAGUAGAGAACUCUAGUUUUGAUUUUUUUUUUUCAUUAGAGAAAAUGAAUUUCAAAUCAAGUGAGACUUUGUAUUGAAUUUAUUAAUAAGUUUAAUAAUUUGAAAAAAUAAUUUAAAACUCUAUAUAUAAUAAACAUAACUAAUGCUUUAAAUUCUAAUAAUCUGAAAUUCAAAAAAUUGAGUAAUAAAUUAUAAUUUAAAUAAAAUAAUUCAGAAUGUCAUCUUCCUAAUUGAAUAAUAAAUGUAUGCAUAUAAUGAAAAUUUUGACUCAUUUAUACCUUAAAAAAUUAAAUUUUAUUUAUUUUUAUAUUCAUUUCAAAUAGAAUAGUAUUAGUAAUUAUUAAUUUUGAAUAAUUAUUCUUUGUUUUUAGCAAAAUAAAUUAAUUAUGCUUUUAUAAGGUGCUAAUAUCCAUAUUUUUAUGAUAUUUAUAAAAUCAUAUAAAUAGUAUUAUAAAUUAUUAAUUUUGAAUUAUUAUUAUUUAUAUUUAACAAAAUAAAUCAAUUAAUGUUAAUAUCUAUAUUUUUAUAAUAUUUAUAAAAAAUAUAAUUUAUAAUUUUAUUACAUAAUUAAUAUUCAUAUUUAUUAAAAACUAUUUGUUUUUAAUAUGAUGUGAAUUAAAUUUAGUUUGCAUUAUAAAAAUUGAAUUUACCUAAAAUAGUCUUUAGUUUUUUAAUUUUUGAAUAAUAUUUUUAAAAAUAACUUGCACUAGGGAAUCAAACUAUUUCCUAGUUUGGAUGAAUUGGAAUCCUACUUUUAAGUGGGAUUUCAUUUUCAUUGGAAUCAGUUUUGAUUCUAUUUCUAUCAUCAUUUAUGUUAUCCAAACAUGAGAAUAAAGGAGAAAAUAAAUGAGAUGCCUAUUCCUACUCUCUAUUCCCAUGUACCAAACACGCCUUAAUUGUACAUGGCUUGUGUCACACCCUUGAGAUUCAACCCAUAAUUUUCUCUGAGUGCGCGGUGCUAAGAGCCCUUUCUUAGCCAACCUUAUCAAAUAACCUCACAAAAGCAAUGUAAAGAGGCCAAGUCAAUUAUGAGAAUCCUUUCCCAACUUGUAUUAUUCAAUCAACAACUACAAGAUACAAAACUGUCUCAAGUGUCUCAACACUUUACAAGAGUCAAAGAACCCACAAUGCUUACACUUGCUAAGCAUUAAUGUUUAUCUCUUUGUCUCUAAUAUGCAAGAGGGUUUAUAUAACCCACAAUUUGCAAUUACAUGUCCAAAUUUCAAACCAAGAGCCUGUUGGUGGUUAUGCAACUACACAUAACCACCCAAUUAGAGACACCCCUUCAAACCAAGGUGUCUCUUUACACCAGCUACAACCCAUCAACUACUUGUAUGUUCCCUUUGCUAAGUCAAGUUGUUGUCUCCCAUGUGCCACACUGAUCACCAACCUUCAAGAUGCCACUACAAUUGAUGAGUUCCCCUAACAAGGUGCCUCAUCUCUACAAGGUGCAUUUUAUGAACGGGUUCCCAUCAAGGUGCCUUUGAUCAACCAUCUGAUCAUGUUCAUCUAAUGCAUCAACGUGCUUUCCCCCACAUUGAUGCUCAAGCCCAUGCCAUGUUAAGAUGCCCAUGGCAUUGGGUGUGUGUUAGGCUCCAUCUGAUUGUAAGGCUUAUUGAUGCCUUGCUCAUGUCAUGCACUACCAACCCCAUUGACGUGUUUGCCAUGGGCCACCUGAGUCAUAGCACUAAGCUAUGGCAUUACACCCCUGGUCUAGUCUCCUUUGUGCAUGGGGCAUUGGCCCUUAUGCCAUGCAUAGGCAUGUCGAAUUUGAGUUGGUUGCAUAUCUAGUCAUCCCAUCAAGCCAUGACAUUACGCCCAUGACUUCUUGAACUGGUUCAAUGCAUAAGUCUUUAGGCGCCCUUGUGCCAACAUGGGGAGGGAAUAGGCAGCACCAAGCUCCAUAUCAUUGCAGCGACAAGGUGCACGCCACACAUGUCAUGGAGCCCAUGUGUGAGAUCUAGUGUGUCCUCCAUGUGUCCUAGGCACACCUAAGGCCAUGCCAUGAUGUCCUCAUGGUGAGGCCAAGGCUUUGCCUUGGUGCUCACUUGAGUUACCUACCCCUCUCCCUUAAAGAGCAUUACAUGCCGUUUUAGAAAUGUUUGGAGAAGACAUUAGACCCCCUUGAGGAGACAUAAUGGAAUAUUUUAAUAUUUAAUAAACAUAUUCCACCAAUAACCCCACCCUCCAUAUACAUCAUCACCAUAAUCAUCUCAGGGCAUGAGUCAAUUGUUGAAGAUGCUUAAGUAUGCAGGCACGAUCGGGUGCAUGCGUGUGUGGCCUAGUGCGCGAUGGUGUACCUUGGUUCAUGCCAAUGCAGCCUUGUGUGUGUGUCGGUGUGGGACUGAUGUGUGUAGGUGUGGGAUUGAUGCAUGUGGGUGCACGGUUAAUGUGCGUGCAGUGCAUGCCUAAUGUGAGCCUGGUGUAUGCAUGGCUCGUGACUAGUUUGUGCCUGGUGUGAGCGCAACCUAUGCCUGAUGCACACGCAGCCUAUACUUGAUGUGCAUACGGCCUAUGCCAAUCUCUUUACUUAGCGUCAUGGGGCUGAACCACCAAACCUCAUGUUUUUUCUUACUCUUUGCCUAGGGUCCCCAUCGGUGCAAGGCCUACCCAUGAGGCCUUUUGUUCCAUCAUUGGGUCAGGGCUUAAGGGUUGACAAACCUACCCUCACCUAUUGAUAAACCUAGUCUACAAGUAUGUUUGGACCGCUUCCUCAAACAGCCACAAAGUAACAUCUCUUUUCUAAGUUGUUUAUGAUUCUGAAGUCUUCUUCCACUAUACCAAAAAAUCAGUUCGCUGAUUCUUUCUACUGGCUUCCAUGAUCCUAUUAUCCAAUAUCUUUUCCACCUCUCGAUGAAAUUGCUUCAUAGCCAAUGGAGGGGUCCACUUUGUCUGUACCAUUUCUGUAUCCGAGUCUUCAUAAUAUGGCUUUUGAAAACUAACAUGGAAGGUUAGGUGAAGCUUAAGCCUCUCAGGCAACUUCAACAUGUAAGUCACUUGAUCUAUGCUCUUUAUUACUUUAAAUGGUCCAUCAUAUUUUGGGAUUAAACCCCUCUGCCUUGUCUUACUACUGAUCUUCUUCCAUAUUUGAGGGGUUAAUUUUAACAGGAUCUUGUCCCAAACUUGAAAUUCCAAAGGUCGACGAUCACAACCUGCAUUUUUCUUCAUCCGUCUGGCUGACUUUUCUAAACUAUCUCAAACAUCAUUGAACAUCUUUUGCCGAGACUGAGCUAAUAUGUAUGCUGCAGGAUUGUUUCCCCUUGACUUUUCUUUAGCCACUUCUAAAGGAAUCAUUGGCUACAAUCUUGUAGCUAACUCAAAGAAACUCAUCCCUGUUAUAGAACUCCUGUGCAGAUUAUAACACAAUUGGGCAGUAUCAAGCAAAUCAACCCAAUUCUUUUGUGUUGUUGUUAGAGUGUUUGAGGUACUCUUCUAAUAGGGCUUUGAUUCUCUCAGUUUUUCCAUCAACCUGAAGAUGGUUGGCUGUAGAAAAUUUCAACUACGAACCCAAGAGUUUGAACAACUUAAUCUAAAAAUGACUUGUGAACCAUACUGCCUAAUCGCUCACACUGUCUUUAGGCAACUCGAAGUAUUUCACCACAUGGCUAAAGAACAACCUAGCUACCUUCUCCAUAGGACAUGCAUCAAGUGCAUGUAUAAAUAGAAAGAACUUAGAAAAUAUAUUUACAACAACAAAGAUAGAUUUGAAGUCACGAACCUUUGGGAAUCCAGUGUUAAAGUCUAUAUAGAUGCUUUCCCAAGGCUUCUCUAGAUUAGGGAGGGGUUACAGUAGCCCUCCAACAUUCUUCUUCGUAGUCUCGUCCAUUUGAAAAACCAGGCAGGACUUAACAUAAGCUUGCACGUUCUCACCCAUCUUUGGCCAAUAAUAGAAUUUGGUCAAUAGUUUCAAGGUCAUUUCUUUACCAGGAUGGCUUGUCUAUCUAGCAUCAUGAGUCUCCUAUAAUAGUUCCUUUCUAAAGCCACCUGUGGGGAUGCACCAUCUCCCUCCCUUAGCCACAACGAGGUCUUCUUCCAACCAAUACCUUCCGAUUGCACUAUCUUUGACCUAUUGCCUUAGCCUACCAUAACUAGCUUUGUAGUUUGUUUAAUUCUCUCAUUAAAGUUAGAGAUGACUUUUGAGAGUGCAGUUAUAUAAACAAUCACUUUAUUUUUUGCUUAAGGCAUUUGCCACUAUAUUAUGCCUUCCUAGUUAAUGCAACCAUUCAAACUUGAAGUUGGCUAAGAACUCCUACCAUCGGGGCUGUUUGGGACUCAACUUCUUCUAUGUUUUGAAGAAGGUGUUGGCCAUGUUGUUAGUGACCACUGUGAAUAUGCUCCUAAGAAAAUAAUGCCUCCACUACUGUAGACAAUGAACCAUAACCAUCAUUUCCUUCUUGUGAGUGGAGUAUCAUUGCUUUGCAUCAUUCAACUUUUGCACUCAAAUGCCACAAUGUGCCUUUUCUAGACAAGGACCCCAUCCAAGGCCCUAUUUAAGGCAUUUGUUUGGACUUCGAAGGGUAGGUCAAGGUCUGGCAACUGCAACAUAGGUUCAGUAGAGAUGGCUUCCUUCAGGCCUUCAAAUGUCAUGUGAUAUUGCAUACUCCAAUCCCACUUGUUGUCCUUAUUUAGUAGGUCAAUAUAGAAAUACACCAUUUUUGAAUAUCGCUUGAUGAACCUUCUAUAAUAGUUGGCUAAGCUAAGGAAAGACAGUAAUUCUAUCAGCUUGUUGGGGACUAGUCACUUCUUGAUAACCUACACCUUGCCCUCAUCCAUUUUGAUCAAGCUUCCAUUGAUCUUAUGUCCAAGAAAUGUGAUUUAUUUAUAAGAAAAUUCACAUUUCUCUAGCUUCACAUAAAACUUAUGCUCCCUCAAUUGCUAGAAAACCAUCCUCAUAUGCUUCUCAUACUUCUUUAGAGUCUACUUGUACACUACAAUGUCAUCUAGGUACACUACAACAAAGACAUCCAAGUAGUCAAACAAAACAUCAUUCAUUAAGUUUAAAAAAGUAGCAAGGGCAUUGGUUAAGCCAAAUGGCAUUACCAGAAACUCGUAUGAGCCAUAACGAGUAACACGUGGUUUCCCUCUCAUCUCCUAUUGUAAUCUGCACCUACCAAUAGCUUGAUCUCAAAUCCAAUUUGGAGAAGUAGGAACCCUUUGAACGUCUACCAAACAAUUCUGCUGCCAAAUGGAUUGAACAUUUUUUUUUUAUGGUGACUUUGUUCAUGGCCCUAUAGUUUACACACGUGUGUAGAGUGCCAUCUUGCUUUUCAUGGAACAACACUGGUGCACUAGAUGGAGCCCUCGAGAGUUGGAUUAGACCUACAUCCAAUAACUUUUUCAAUUGUUUCUGUAGUUCUAGCCAUUCUGCAAGGGACAUCCUAUAAGGGGCUUGAGCCGAGGGCUUUGUUCUAGGUAGUAAUUCUAUCUUGUGGUCAAUAAGCCACUAGGGUGGCAACUUCUUGGCAAGUUUUGUAGGCAUCGCGUCUCUGAACUCCUUCAAAAUCUUGACUAUUGAAUUAGGGACUUCCACAUAUUGUUCCCCCUUGAUCUUAAUCAAGGAUGCAACAUAAGUAUCCUGGCUCCAUUUCAAACCCUUCUUUAAUUGGAUAGCAAACAACAUCUUAGGCUAACCCUUAUCACCAUUUUUAAUCUUCAAGGUCUGCACAAUGCAAGGUUGACUUUCUUCCAAGACUAUCAGGCCACCAAGGUGUGGGGAUCAAGGCCACCUUAGCCUUAAGGAUGAAGUUCAUAUCAAAUAUCAAAUCAAAAUCAUCCAAGGGCACACAAAGUAGGCUGCAAGUACCAUUCCAUUCAUCGACUUGCAUAAGGACAUUGUUGGCUACACCAUGGAUCUUUUGGGUUUUUCUAUUGACUACCUUGAUUUGAUUGCUAUCAUUCUCUAGUUUCAGUCCCAAUUUGGCUACAUCUCUAGUGGCCACAAAAUUAUGAGUGGCACCACUAUCCACCAUAGGCUUAACUUGCACACCAUUCACAAUUGCAUGCACAUGCAUUAGUGAUUUUUGGACAAAGGUCUCACCAUGAAUCACAUUCAUAAGUUGCAAUAGACUGAAUCUAGGAAAGGCCUUUGAGUUAGAUUCUCCAUUUUCAUCUAUAGUCAUAACGGUCGAGAUUUUGGGGCAGUCCCUAACUCUAUUUGGGCCAUUACAGAUGAAGCAUCCUACUAUCCGAGUGGUCUGCUGCACAAAUUCAAUGGUCUUCUCCACUAGUUUUGCCACUACAACACCUUUCUUGUACUAUUUCUUCCACCUUGACUUAUUAAAAGUCUUACCCUUAGCCUUAGCCUUCGUACUUCCCUCUGUCUUAGGUUUUUGCAUGGUAAAGAUGGCACCACCCAUCUUUUAAUCUAUUAGACAAUCUAUUAUAGCCAUGGUAUUAGGGAGAUUACUAACCCAUUGCCUCCAAAGUUUGGUUUGAGCCCACCCAUGCAAUCUAGACAUAAAAUUGAAGAGCUUGUCCUUGUCUAACAUGUUCUUUAUAUAAGGCAUCAAGAAAAUGAAUACCUUGACAUAGUCCCUUAUAAAUCUAGUGUGUCCAAGUCUUUUCAAUGAUUUUUUAGCCACCCAAGUAGUGUUGGUGGGGAGGAACUAGUCUUUCAACUCCUUCUUUAAAGUCUCCCAAGUGGUGAUUUGGGGUCUUCUAAACUCUUCAUCAUCUUCCACCUUAGUGCACCACCAUAAUUUUGCAUCACUAGUAAGAUGCAUAUUGGUAAUUGAAACUCUUUCAUCAUCAGGAACAUGAGUAGCCUUGAAGAAUUGCUUCAUGUUUCACAAGAAAUUCUCCAACUCUUUUGCAUUUAGAUUUCCAUUGAAGUCCUUAAGCUCUAGGACUCGAUUUUUGAGAGGGGCUUCAAAGCCUGAGGAGGAUCCUUGCAACAUCGCUUUCUUAAUGACUUUAGUGUCUUCUCCAUAAGAUUGUAGGGUGCCUUUGAAGUCUUCCAUCAAGGACUAGAUAUUUGUCUCUAAACCAACAACCUUCUCCUAAAAAUAUUGGUCAUGUGACCUAGCAAACUCCUCUGCACUUGGAUCCUCCCCACAAUGUUCUAUGCCCACAAGGCCACGAUGUCAUCCUCACUUGGCCAUUCUCCUAGUAUUUCUUCCAUUCAAGCAAUCCUUUCCCACAAGACUUCUACUGCACUACCACCAACCAUUUUCUAGUCAUACUCUAAUACCACUUGUUACACUCCUAAGAUUCAACCCAAAUUUUUAUUUGAGUGUGUAGUGCUAAGAACCCUUUCUUAGCCAACCUUCUUUGAUUACCUCACAAAAGCAACUUAAAGAGGCCAAGUCAAUUACGAGAAUCCUUUCCCAACUUGUGUUAUUCAAUCAACAACUACAAGAUACAAAAUCGUCUCAAGUGUCUCAACACUUUACAAGAGUCAGAGAACCCAUAAUGCUUAUAACCUACUAAGCAUUAAUGUCUAUCUCUCUAUCUCUGAUAUGUAAGAAGGUUUAUAUAUAACUCACAACCUGUAAUUACAUGUCCAAAUUUCAAACCAAGAGCCUGUUAGUGGUUACCAUAACCACCCAAUUGGAGACACCCCUUUGAACCAAGGUGUCUCUUUGCACCAGCUACAAUCCACAACUACUUGUAUGUUCUCUUUGCUGAGUUGAGUUGUUGUCUCUCAUGUGCCACACUAAUUAACAACCUUUAAGAUGCCACUAGCCACUAUCUCAAGCCAUCUCUCAUAGAGCUACUAUUGAUGAGUCCCUCUAAUAAGGUGCCUCUUGUGAACGGGUAUCCAUCAAGGUGCCUCUGAUUAAUGGCUUUUUGAACUAGCACUAUGCAUCAACCAUCUGAUCAUGUCCAUCUGAUGCAUUAGCAUGCCUUUUCCCACACUAAUGCUUAAGCCCAUGCCAUGUCAAGGUGCCUGUGGCUUUGGGCGUGUGUUAGGCUCCAUCUGAUCGCAAGGCUUAUUAAUGCCUUGCCACCUGAGUCACAACACUGAGCCAUGGCAUUAUGCCCUUGGUCUAAUUUCCCUCCUACAUAGGGGAUUGCACCUCUAUGCCAUGCAUAGGCAUAUCGGGUCUGAGUUGGUUGCAUAUCUAGUUGCCCCAUUGAGCCAUGGAAUUACUCCCAUGGCUUCUCGAAUUAGCUCAAUGUACAAGUCUUUAGGCGCCCUUGUGCCAACUCGAGGAAGGGAUAGGUUGCACUAGGCUCCGUGCCAUUACAAUCACGAGGUGUGCGUCAUACAUGUUAUGGAGUCCAUAUGUGCGUGCUAGUGCAUCGUUUGUGUGUCCUAGGCAUGCCCAAGGUCGUGCCAUAGUGUCCCCUUGAGUCACCUACCCCCUCUUAAAGAACAUUAUGGGUCGUUUUAGAAAUGUAUGGAGAAGACAUUAGACCCCCUUGAGAAGACAUGAUGGAAUAUUUAAAUAAUUAAUAAACAUAUUCCAUCAAUAACCUCACCCUCCAUCUAUACCGUCACCAUAGUCAUCUCAAGGUGCGAGUCAACUAUUAAAGAUGCCCAAGUGUGUAGGAUGUGCACAAGGUGUGCGCAUGGGUACGACUUGGUGCACGUGGGUGUGGCUUGGUGCGUGCACAGGUGCAAUUUGGUGCGCGUGUGGGCAAAGGUUGGUGUGCAUGCGUGCAAAAGACUAAUGCGAGAUUGAUGCACAUGGGCAUGUGACUGUUGCGCAUACAGUGCAUUCCUGAUGCACGCUUAGUGUGUGCGUGGCUUGUGCUUGUGCUUGUUUCCUCACUUAGCUUCUUGGGGUUGAACCACCAAACCUCUAGGUUUUCCAACAUUGGAGAAAUAACUUACCUUAAUUAUUGGAAUUGGAUUCCAAGCUGCAUGUGCUAAUGUAUAUGUAUUUUGAAUUGUAUAGGAACUAAUGAGAUGAAUGUCUUGAAAGCUAUACCAAUUGGAUUUACAAUAUCUCCAUGUUACUAUAUUAUAUAUGUUAUGAAUCUUAAAAAGAAAUUGCACUAAUGAUUAUAUUAUUAAUUACUUUAAAUUUAUACGUGAGUGAAAUUCUAAAAUAAUUAUAUAUUCUCUUUUAAGUUAGGAAACUAAUAAUUUAAUAUUUUCAAUAUUAGACAUCAUGAUAUCUUGAUUAUAGACAUAUUUAACUUGUAUCCAGUCAAGUAAUCCAAAAUUAAUGAUCAUAUUAAGUUCAUGGUCAUGGUAUCUAUCCUUACGGAUAUGGGCAUAUCAAAUGAUCAUAGAAAAAGAUGGAUUUGUAACCAAAGGAAUAAAGAUACAAUUCAAAAGGUAGAUGACUUCAUUCUAUUUGGAUUAUGAAGAUCAAAUUAUAAGGAACAACAUAUAAUAAGUAUAUUAGGUCUCAUAUUCUUUAAUUUAAUUAUCAUUAAUUACUAUUAUGCUGUCAAUGUAUUUUUUUUUUAGUACAAUGAACGCUAAUUGUAAGUUUUUUGAAAAAUUAUUUAGGAGCUACUUUCUUCUAUUCAUCUUGUUCGUCCCCGUUUGAUCCAUCCAUUAAUCCAUUUUUUUUAUAUUAUAUUUAAAAAAAAAGAACUAGUAUAAUAAGGGUGCACUGUGAGGAUGUAAGCUAUUGCUUGUUUUAAUGGUAAAAUCAAAAGCAUUGUAUGAUGUCGUGAAACUUGACUCUCUUAUUAUUUGAAGAUGGCUUACAAUUAUAUAUAUAUGAUCUUAGAAGAUGAAAAAAAGGAAAUAUAAAAAUCAGUACAAGAGUUACACAACUAAUCACAUUACAAAAGGUAAUAAUGGAUUUAAACUUCUUUUGGCUUUGAAUAUGGGAUUCUCAUGCAUAUAGCCACACAUUUGGCAAAGUUUGACUCCGAUAGUUGCAUUUCUCUAUUCAUGCAUGGAACGAUGGGCUAUUGUUAAGCUUGGAUUACUAUUAUUUAGGAUAUUAAAAUUACUUUCAUUGAGCUUUAAAUAGAUUUGAUUCACUUUAAGCAUUUGAAUUAUUAUUCAAUUCUUAGCCAAGAUUAACUUUUUUAGGCUCCCUCAAGUUUUUGAGUGGCACAAAGUGAGUCACUACUUGAACCUAAAUUCCUAAAAGGACUCCCUUGAUAAUGGCUUGGUAAAAAUAUGUACUAUUUUAUAGUAAAGUACAAGAUAUCUGGUGAUGAGUGCUUUUGUUGCUACCUUUUCUUUUUUAUAAAAUGAUAAUCCAAUUCUAUAUGUUUGGAAUGUGCAUGAAAGACUGGAUUUUCAGUCACAUAUGAUACACUGAUUGUCACUUAGAAGUUGUCACUACAAAAUGUAUAAGGUAUAACAAAAUUUUAGUCGAGGCUAAGAAAAAUUGCAACUAAAAUUAAUAUAUAGUCAUGACCAAAGUAUGUCCCCUUCUAUAGGGCUUGAUGGAGGGAAAUUUUUACUAAGGAAAAUUCCUGUUGAAGUGUAUGUUAGUGGCCAUGAUAAAACCCGGUUCAAAGAUAAUAUUUUGAUGCAGGCUCACACUUGAUGCAACUAUAAGCAAUUUUUCUAUUCUUUUAUAGUUGUGGUAAUUUUUCAUAUUGCCCUCACAUAUGGGUUUUAGAAGUCAUUUAAUUUUGACCACAUGUAUAGGCAUAUUAGGGCUUCUCGAUCUACUAUAUGGCAUCACACUUAUGAACAAAGCAUCUUGUCAAGACAUCCUCUUUACCAUUGGGACCUAGCAAAGUAGAUUUCUCAUAGAAUUUCUUCAGGUAUUCUUUCUCUCUAAUUUGUCCUUGAUUUCUUUCACUAUAUGUCAUUCUUUCAUCUCGUAAGUUCGAAUAUGAGUCCUAGGGCUUUGUGGGAUUCAAUUUUGCUAACGCAAUUUUUUGAAGGGUUUGUAGGCAAGGAUUUGGAAACUAAGCCCUAAGAUUCGACUUCUAUGAUCUUUCUUUGCUUUGUUAUUCUUUUAAGGAUAAAAUAUUUGUUUUUUUUCAAUAUGUUUGAUGAGGAUCGAUAAAGAGAUCAAUUGUUUCUCUCUCUCCAUCACCAUCAUCUAGACUUUAUUGGUGCUUUGAAUCCAAUGGUAGUCAUCAUUUAGACAAAAAAGAGUCUUGAACCUUCUAAAUGGCAACUGAUUGUUGUAACCUAAAAAAAUUCAAGUGUCGAUUUAUGUCUAUACAUAUAGUUUUUUAUUUAUAUAUAUGCUAAGUGUAAAUUGGAAUAAAAUUUUUAUUUUUAUUUCUUGAUCAUUUUCUAAUUUUGACCUUCUAUUCUCACUCUUGCUUCUUGAAUCUUAUUGUAGAAACAAACGUUUAGGAACUAAUUUUAUUGCUUUUAAGGGAAAAAAAAUUAAAGUACUCAUAUCGUCUCAUAUUACUUCCAAAAUGUGUAUAAAAGAUGAAACCCACAAUUACUUAUCUAAAUUUGUGUUUUUUAUUUUUAAUCUUACAACUCCUUCACUCUAAGUAAUGUGCUUGCCAAUGGAAAAAAAAAAAUGUUUCCUUUGUUUUAUGAUGCCUUUGCGUGUUACUAAUUUAUAUCUUUGAUAUUUUAAACACACAGGGGUUAGGCUUUGUAUGCAUGAUUAUAUCAAGAAUAUUAUUAUUUCGAAUAAAAUUUAUUUUUCAUUAUUAGAUGCAUGCAUAACAUUUAUCUUCAUGGGCUAAAAUUUUAGGAAUCUUAUUAGUUUUGUAUUUAGACUAUAUUUUGAUGGUGUCAAACAUGAAAAACAGAUCCUCUUUUAUAGUUAAAUCUAUCCACAAUAUUGACUGGAUUUUAAGCUUUUUAAGUUUCUAGAACAUAGCAUGAUAGAUAAUUGGCAUGUACCUUUCCUUCCUAUAGACUUUCUGACACAUCAUCAAUUCAAGACCAUAAUUUCCUUAUCUUUCUAGAGGUUGUGCUAUUGGUUGUUUAUGUUUGAGAUUGAGGGCACACAAAUAGUUCCUAUAGAUUUCCAAAAUAUAUGAACAGGGGAAAGAAAACUUUGUUGGCUCUAAUAUAUUGUUUGAUUCUGAUAAAUAAAAAAAAUGUAUACAACUACACAAUUUCCUAGAUUUGCUAGCCUAAACUAAAAUUGUAACGAAGGCAAGCCUAACUCUAAUAACCAAUACUGGAAUAGCUAUAGUGAAGACAUGGAAAAGUUGUCGCUAAUUAGCAAGAUAUGGAAAUGGCAACAAUUAGUGUCAGUAGUAGAGUGCUUAUAAAUUUAAGACCCUUGACUUUUUAUUUUAUGUAUUCACACCUGUUGUUCUCAUGUAUUAAUAUAUUUUAAAAUUGUAUUAAAUUUGUGUGAAAUAUGUGCUAUGCUGUAUUCAUUAUUUGAAAUCUUUUUCUCAUAUGUGUGUGUAUUUUUUUUUCUUGCUAUUUGUUAGAGGGCCAAUUCCCCUUUAGAAGUUAACAUCGCCUCUAGACUUCACCAGGAAGGUCGUGCCUACCCCAAGCACUCUUGGCUCUCAUAAUGAAGUCUGCUAACGUUAAAAAUACCAGAGCCUUCUUGUCUUAUAGCCUUCUAUGGAUACCGAAAGGUAACACAUAUGGUAGGCACCCUGAGUUUACCAACCUCAAUGACUGGCUCCUUGUGAUCUAUGACCACCCUAAGGUUAGGGUUAGGCUGCUACCCCAUGCAAGCCCUAUGGUCCGACCUUCGGCUCUCAAUUGUUGCUUGCUUAACUAUGUCGGUUGCGUUAAGCUUUCUUUGCUUUCAAUUCCACAUCAAAUCGUAGCAAAGCACGAUUGUGGUAGCCAUUAUUGAAAGUUUCCCUUAGCUUAGUAAUCGUGAGACCUCUCAAGUUCUGCUCUUUCCACUUGAUCCUGCAAGCCUAUACUUCUUGCUUUGAUGGCUUAGCUCCCCUCUAGUUUUACUUGCUUGUACAGUACUUGUGUUACCACGAGGGCUACCUUCUCCUGUUCACCACCAUGGAAAAAGGUUUUGAGUAAAACUUGACACAAACACAAUGUGCUAAAAUCAAGAUCAAAUAAAAUUUCCCUUUCCUAACACACCUACUACUAUAUAGGAGGUGUGGAGCCACUAUCGAAGUAUAACGUGCCAAUCACUAAAAGUUUUUCUACGCCCUGAUGGCUUUGGUGGGCUUUGCAACUUGCCCUAUAAAGAAGAGGUCACCACUCUCUUAUCACCUCCAGUAGAGAGCAAAUCUGGAUAUGCCUCUGUGUAACAGGUGGGUUGUACCCACCCCAGGAUCUUGUCCCUCAUGAUACGCUUUAAAAUCCGAAAAUAACCAAUGCCUUCUUGUCUCUAAUCCCAUCAAUGGAGAUAAAUUGGAUUGCAGGAUAUGCAAUCCACCCAAUGCUCCAUCCAGGAAAAAGGUUUGUUGGUCAUUUACAAUAAUCCAACAAAUUACUUUAACUCCCUUAACCUUAAGUGAGUGACUCUUAGGGAGAGACACGAACGAGAGUAGCUGAGUUUUCCAAGAAUAGGGGAUCCAAGGGCUCUCCCUUGAGAAUUAUUAAUGGUCAAUGGAAUUAGGGGACUCCCAAAAAAAAUGUAUAAAAGGGAGCCCUCGAGGGCCCUGGGAACUCCCCUGGCAUGAGAGAUCAGUGGGUGUGCGCCCCCCUAUAGUAGAGAGUGGCCUUUGCAUCUAAGGGGCACGGGCGGUUAAAACUGAUAUUAGAAAUUAUAAUAAAAAUCUCCUUUUGGUUAACGAGUGACCCUUGUGUCUAAGGGUCACGAAUGGUAAGGAGUUCUCUAUAUAUUCCUAAUGUUUUUUUUUCCUAUAAGUAUUUUAAUAAUAUCUUCCUAGAAUUCUCCUUAUGGUCUUGUUCAUCGUUAAAUAACCUUUAAUCAUAUUUUAUUAUUUUAGGUAGUAUAUGUCGUAUAGCGAGUUAAGUGUUAUUAUAGCGAUGAUAUGAGCCCCUAGAGACAGGAUUGGGGGCCAGUGAACCUUAUAACAUGAGGAGCCAGAAAAGAUACCGCAUUGGUGGUACCUUUCAAUAUUCGUAGAAGGUUAUAAGCCAAGAAGGCUUUGGUUGUUUUAACAUUAGUGAACUUCAGCAUGAGGGCCAAGAGUUCCUCGAUUGGCUAACUUGUCUUCGGUCUUUCAUCUUGCCAUGCGAUAGAACCCUAGCUCUAUCAAUAGAAAGAAAGAUCCUAGCAUCAAUGCCAUUCGAGGUGAGUUCCUCUUAAAUCGAAACUUGCAUUUUCCUAGGGCGCUAAGGGGUUAAGCUUGCCUAAAAGCUCUCAAGAGUUUAGAUGGUUAGAAGCUCGACCAUACUAUAGGAAAUGAUGGAAAGAUGCUAGAAGGACCAAGAUUAAAGGUGGGCGCUAUAGAAUUGGAGGUUGGUCGUAGAUAAGGAGAUGAUAAAGGAAAAUCUCCAGAGAUUACAAAAGAUGAAGAAAUUUAGGAUCUUAAACCAACCUAGACAGACUUUAAGAAAAUGAGUCCUUCCAGUGGAGACUGUAGAAUAAGUUUCAGAAUUCUUGCACCCAGUUCGCCAACCAGUCCUACAGAACAUAGGAUUGAUAAGCAAAAUGCUCGAGCUAGGUAUGUAGGAACAUAUUAUCCAGUUGUCAGUACAGAGAUUACUUUACAUGGGAACUAUCAUGAGAUGCCUGGUUUAAAAAGGAAGCUAAGUUAGUUGAGCCCAAGAUUCUAAUUCAAUUAAGCAAGGGUCCAUUCAAGCAGCCAAAAAGAAGAAUGACACCCGAUGUGAUUAGAAAUUUCAAGGAAGAUAUCAAAUACCGCCUCUGACAAGCUAAUUUGAACUGCCGGAUAUGUAGAAUGGUUAUAUAAUCUUCUUCUUGUUCUAAAAAAGAGUGGAAAUGGAUAGUCUAUUGGCAAUAAAAUAAAAAUAAAAAAACUAAUGGAUUGCAUUAAAAAAUAAGUAUACCAGUAACAAUUCAAAAGAUAGCCUGAAUAGGCCUCCAGAAAUUUGUCUCAAGAGAGUCCUUUACGACUUUCUCAUACAUAGCCAUCUUUUCCUCUACUCUUCUUUUUUAGAAUGGAGGUAUUUUGUUAUGGUUUUGAAGGAAAGAGACUCGUGAUGUAGCUAUCAAAAACUUCUUCAGGGUGGUCAUAGAUCACCGAGACCAUCUGAAAUCUUGGCCUUGCCUCUCUUUUUUUCCUCCCUCAAAAGGUUUUUAUUCCGUUUGGCUGACCUUCACAAACCUUCUGCUCAACCAUUUCUUCGGAGCAACCUUAUGAUCUACGAGCAACCUUGAGUGAUGUAGAUGGUGCUCGUGAUGAGGUAUCACACCUGUAGAUAUUAGGUAGUAUCACAAUUGCAAAUGGUGCUUAGCUUGCCUCUUCUUUGUAGUGCUCUGAUGCGUUGUUUAACAACCCCCAAACCUGUCUCUAGGGGCUCAUAUCAUCACUACAACAACACUUAAAUCGCUAUAAGACAUAUACUACCUAAAAAUAUAAAAUGCGAUUAGAUAGUAGAUGUCGUAUAGUGAGUUAAGUGGUGUUGUGGCAAUGAUAUGAGCCCCUAGACAUAACUCUAAUGGUUUCUUCACAUGGACAAAAAAUGAAGGAAAGGGCAAGUGGAGUGUAUUGAUUGAAUGCUAGUUAGUUAAAGAUUUUUUUCCCAAACAGUGCAAUCAUAAAGUGCUCCCAAACUUCGCCAUGCUUGCCAAGGUUGCGUUUACGACCAUGUCGGUAGGGACCUACAUACAAUCAUGUCAAGAGUGCAACAACAUAUGGUAGGUGAAAAAAAUGUAAUAAAGCUUACAACGUAAAAGAUUUAUUUGGAGUCUACAAGAAACCUUAUGAGAUGGCCUUUUCCUUAAUAUAAAACUAUUGGCCCUACCAAGGCCUAAGAUUUUCAUAACAACAAAGAUGAAAAAAAUUGAUCAUAAGAGAGAGAAAAUUAGAUACCUAUAAAGCUUAUUUAAGCAACCAAGUAAAUUCUAUUUAGAGACAAUAAAGCUUGGUUUGAGUACAGAUACCUGUUUCCUUCCAUCCAUCCGUGAAGGGCUCUCUACAAGGGCUCUCAAUGAAUCUUGGAUAGAUGAUGACUACUAGUAUUUCCCCUCUUAUGUUGUUUAUCAACAUCUCACCCAUGGCCCUUGUAAACACAUAAGUGUCUUGCCAUCUAUAGAUUCAUGCCAUAUUAAAGAUAAUUUUGAUCACUAUAACCCUACAAAAAAAAAAAAAAAACUCGAAUUUGUUUACCAAUAGAUAUUUUUAAAAAGGAAACCAUAACAAAAAAAUAAAAACCAUCACCUCACUAAACCCAAUUCUGUUUUGUUAAUGUAUUCCUAUUGAGAAUGAAGAAGAAGAGAGAUCUUCUUUUGAACAAGAAAAUUUGAUCUCAUGGAUCUUCUAUUUCACCGAACUUCGUUGAUUGCUCCAUACAAAUUUACAAUGGAAAAACUUCUGUUCAUUGUAAACAAUUAAUUUCUAUUUAUUGUACAAAACUAUAUGUUAUUUUUUUUAUUUGUGAAAUACAUGGUUUCAUACACUUUUAUUCCUAAGGUAUUCCAUUUUCUUACUAUUAUUCAUGCGUCAGUACUUUUUUGUAAUCCUUGCAAGCUCUAACUCAUUUUACCUCUUCUAUAUAUGUAAUAAGCCCUUUAGCCCGCCUAUUUUUUCUCAAUUCUUUCAGUUUGAUGGGCGUGCUCUCAUUUCCAGGUUUGGAUGUUCUUUAAGGGUCUAUUAGACUACGUCAAUACAUGAAUCUUAUAUUUCCCAUCUCACCCUCACUAGAGGGUGGUGCCCUACUAAUGCCAUUAGCACUAACCCAAUGUAAUUUACCCUUAUUUUCCUAUGUCAAUUAGUCUAUUUUAUUUUGCAUGUGAUCUUGUAAAUUGAUAAGAGUAAUUCAAUAUCUCGCAAAUUGAAAUCAUUGUGUGAUGUUUCCUUAAAGUAAUGACUAGAGUUUCAUCAUCUGAUCUGCAGUUGCUAAUAGUAGACAUAGAACGGUUCUGUCAAUGUUGUGAUAUUCAUGAACAAGUUCUUGAUUAUGAAUUAUUUCCAAGAUGCAAAUAGAACUGAAAGCUUAAAGGAUCAGGAAACACUAGCAUUUUUUUUCCUUGACUAACAAAUGAUGAUUUUGAGUGGAAUUUCUUAGUUUUCCUACGAAUUUGUUGGAAAAGCUGAGGUUUUUUCUAUGGUCUCACCAUUCUUUCCAAUACAUUUUGUAGAGAAACUUGAUGGAGGUAUCCUUCACAAAUGCAUAAUCUCUUAUCACACUACUAUCACCAUUUCUUUAUAAAAUAACCUAUUUCUACAAUCUUGUUGCUUGAUUAUAGGUAACCAUGAGAAAUGAUUUUAUCUUAUUGAGAUGAGUUGUGUUGCAGGAAACAUCCCCCCACCUCUAGCCCAAGUUAUCUCUUAAUGUGGUGUAAGGAUUGCUUAUUUGGAGGUCUGUAAACAUUUGGCAAAUGUGAGAAACUUCAUCUUUGAGCCUCACAUUCUCUUGAAGAAUCUGAUCAUAGCACUCGACACAUGGUUCAACUUGUCUAUGAGGCUGCGAUUCUCAUUUAUGAGGCGAACAACCUGUGACCAAAUCUCAUACAAGUGCUUCUAUUUUUGUAUCCUUGACCUGCAAGCAAAUUCUCUAUUAGAUAUCAUUCUUCUUUGUUUCCUUUCAUUGAUGAUUCUGAGUUGAUGCUCCUCUGCUUCUUUUGAAGUAGAGUUAUUGCUCAGGCUUGAGUACUAUGAGGUGAAUUCAUGAACAGGAGCCCCAUAGUAUAUUGUAGCCUCAUCAACUAGAGAUUUAUCCUUAGAACUUGAACGAAAUGUGGUCAUUGAAUAACGUUGUUGUAACAUAUGUUCAUGCUUCCUAACCAUAAAGAAGUAUAAAUGAUUUAUUUCUAAAUUUAAUCCAAUUAUUAAAUAAGGAUUCAAAACACACCCACGCACACACAUAUAUACAUAUAAUAUUAAUGUACUACAUACCUUCUCCAUGACUCAUACGAUGGAUGACUUUUCAAUACCCAUCUACAAGCUUGUUCAUCCUCAACACCCUCAAUGACAAAUUCUUGACCGAAACCAAUUGGUCCACUAUCAAGACCAAUUAAAUUAUUGUCAUUAUCAUCAAACAAAUUUAGUUGAAGUAGGUUGGAUCCAUCAAAUACCUUUUCAAGUUUUUGAGAAAGGUUUACAUUGCUUUUAGUUUUAUAUUCGGUGCAAUAUGUUAGUGUCUCCUUUUGGAUAUACCUUUAUGCUAUACAACCUUGAGGUCGUGCCUUGUUAGCAACACAGCCCUUGAAUGUUUUCAUCAACCUUUGAAUAUCAACAGCAUAUUAGCUAGGGAUAUAUUUAAUAAGUAAAAUAAAAAUACUCAUAAAUUGAAAAUAUAAAAUUAAAUAUUUGAUAAUGCUCAAAAUGUACCUUUCAAAUGGAUACAUCCAUCGAUAGCGUACAGGACCACAUACAUGAAUCUCAUAAGCUAAAUGGAUUGGCAAAUGCAUCAUGAUAACAAAUAUUGAGGGAGGGAAAAUCUUCUCCAUUUUACAUAAUUGCUUUGCCAUGCUCCUUUCUAGUGCAACGAGUGUUUCAAGAUCUAUGACUUUUGAGCAUAAUGCAUUGAAGAACAUGCAAAAACUCCUUAUUAUUUUUGGAAUUUCCUUUCAAUCCUUAAACACAUGUUGAAUCAAUAUUGGGAGCAAAUGUUGCAUUAGAAUAUGGUAAUAAUGAGAUUUCAUGUUCUUCAAAUCCAUACUAUCUUCUUUAACAAUGUUACUCCAAUUAGUACUAAAUCCAAAAGGAACUUGUAAAUCAUGCAAUGCUUUAAGCAAUAAUUGUUUUUCCUUUUUUUUUUUUUUAACCAAUAUCGUGCAGGUAUUUGAAUUUCCUUGUCAUUUUGCUUCCUCAACCACAACCACUCUUUAAUUUUAAAAUGCUUCAAGUCCCUUCGUGCAUUAGCAUCAUCCUUUGUUUUCCCUUUAGUGUUUAACAUCAACGCAAUAAGGAUUUCACAUACAUUUUUCUCAAUAUGCAUAACAUCCAAAUUGUGGCAAAUAGGAAUGUAUUUCCAAUAUUCAAGAUUGUAUAGUAUAGAUCACUUGGAGAAGCAUGCUAACCUAUCACCAUCACCAUUUUCUUCUGCUUCCUGAGCAUAUCUUUGUCUUUUUCGUCUUCUUUCCCCACUGUACUUCCAAAUUAGUUGUCAUUUCUUAUGUUUCUUUCCCAGUCAAACGAAUGGGUUGUCAUCGAUGCUUCUCUUUUUUAUUAAAUGUGCCGACACUUGUAUCAUUUCUUAAUUCAUAUGAAAGUGGCAACCAUCACCUAUGACCCAUAUAGACAUGUUUUUUUUUUUUUUUCCAUUUGGAAGUCUUAAGGAAUCAGUAUUUGGACCACAACAAGGACAACCAAAUUUUCUCUUUGUCUUACAUCCAGAUAAGACUCCAUAUGUUGAGAAAUCAUAUAUAGUCCAUAAUAAAACAACAUGCAUAUUAAAACUGUUGUUACUAUGUGAAUCAAAUGUCCUCACCCCUUUAUGACAAAGAUCUUGCAACUCAUCAACCAAUGGUUGUAAGUAAACAUCAAUGUCUUUUCCUGGUUGUCAAGGACCAUCGAUAAUUAAUGUUAGCAAUGAAAAUUGAUGUUUCAUGAAUAAAUUUGGUGGAAGAUUAUAUACUACACAUUUAAUAGGCCAAACAUUGUAAGUGCUAUAUGAUCCAAAAGGAUUAAAUCCAUCAUAGCCAGUAGUAGUCGAACAUUUCGAGGCUCUUUUGAGAAAUCUUUGUACAUAUCAUCGAUAUGUUUCCAUGCAUUUGAAUCAGCAAGAUGCCCCAUCUUUCCUGGUGGCAUUCUUCUAGUUAAAUGCCAAGUCAUGUUUUUUUCAACCCAUGGUACACUACAUAAAACAAAGUGAUUCACUCGUAUUGUAGUUGGGAAAAAUUUAUAUUUAUAUAACUACAAAAAAUAUAUAUAAAAUAAAAUACAAACCUGUACAUUCUUUGCAGCCUUGGUAUCAAUGGAAAAUAUCUUAACACUUUGUUAGGCACUUUUCUUCUUUUCUUGUUUGGAUCCUUUUCUACUUUAUAUCUAGAAGCACCACAUGUUGAACAACUAAUCUUUGCUUCAUACUCUCUCCAAUAUAAGAUUCAAUCAUUUUAACAAGCGUCUAUUUUUUUGUAAUCAAGACUCAAUGCAUUUAUAAUCUUCUUUGCAUGAUAUGUGUUAUUCGGGAUCUUAUUACCUGAAGGUAACACUUCUUGAAGUAGUUGAAGUAGUUGAAGUAGCUUGAUAAAGUUUUUUUAACUCCAUCCAUGGCUUACUUUUAAGCCAUAUAAUUUUAAAAUGAAGGUAAGCACAGUGAGUAUCUCACAUCCAGGAUAUAAAGUAGUCAUUGCCUCUUGAAACCUUUUCGCUAAAUUCUGUGCCAAAUUCUUUCGUGAUAUGUUCUCUAUCCUCUAACAUUAUGUUUAUGUUCUCUUCAUCAAUUUCAUUUGAACUUUUAUCAACACUUUCGCAUGUUGACUUUAUGAAAUCUUGGUCUAAAUUCUCCAUCAAUUCCUUAUUGGAUUGAUGUUGGAAUGUUGAGGCUCGUUCAUUGGCCUCAAGCGUUGCACUUUCACCAUGUAAGUCCCAAACUUGAUAUGUUGAUUUGAAACCAUAUUUAACCAAAUUGUACUUAACAUCAUCAUAGGUUGAUGGAAGGCGUUGGUUUCCACAUUUGUUACAUGGACACAAAAUAGUUUUGUCUUCCGGAAAGAUUUUCUCAUGCAAAAUUCAAGAAGGAUUCAAUGCCCUCCAAAAAAAGGGGGUUUGGAAAUUGAAGAUUGAUCCAAUCCUUGUUCAUUGUAUAUGAGUUCUUUAACUUCUGUAUUCUAUAACAUGAUGCAAAAAAUUAAAAUUAAAAAAUAUAUAUAUAUAAAUAUCAAAUUUUAAUAGUUCAACAACGAAGUCUAGAAAAAUUAUUUUAGAAUAUGACUAAAAAUAAGAAGAAAUUAGCUAAUACGUCCAAAUAUUAAUUUCAAGAAAUUUGAGAGAAACAAUAAAGAAAUAAUGCGAAAUAUUAAUCAUUUUUUUUUUUUUUGUUCCCAAAAAAGAAAACCCAAAAGAAAUCAGACUAAAUAUAGGAAACAUUGAAAAUCAAUGGAGUCCAUGGUAGGUGCAGCCAAGCACCGUCCAUAUGAGGGCAUGCACAUGAUUUAAAGAAAUUAAACUGUAGGACAAACCUACCUUGACUCAGUCUUCAAAUUGUGGAUCACUCAUUAAUUUCAGAAGUGCCUAUAUUACAAAAUAUAUGUAGUCUAAGACGUUGGUAAAAAAAAAUGUAAGGAAACAAAAAGAUGUGGAACUUCAUGGGGAAUUUCAAUGCUUUCUGAACCCCUAUUGUUACUUAUUGGGAUGUCAAGGUUGUAUGUUAUCCUAGUUUUUCGGAAGGUCUUCAUGCUAUCAAAAAGGAUAUGGAUGAAUUCCAAAUUGAAUAAAUUACUACACCCUGCAGCUGGCUGUAGGGCCACAAUGGAAAUCUCUUAGGGUGAAAUACUUAUGUAAGUUGAUAGAAAUUUGGAAAUAACAUAAAUUUGCUACUUCCAGAAAAAAAAUUCCUUAGCUAGUUUCAUGUCAUAAUGUAAAAAAUCUAUUCAAAUAUCAAAAGAAAGAAAGGAUUUUUUCACCUUCCCCCAAGAAAGAAUAUUAAUGUUAAUAAAUGGAUCUUAGAAAUGAUGAUAUGAAUCUAUAUUUCCAGUAAGAUAAACUGCCUUAGGAUCACAAUUUUCCUUUCUUAUUGCUGGGAUUAUAACAAAACUAGGAACUUAAUUAGAUGAAGGAUCCAGUUUAUAUGUGGGUUGCCCAAAUAAAAUUAUGAUGCCAGUCUUGGAAGUUGAAAUGGUGAUUGGAUGUUUGAAUCUAGGCUUAAGCAAAUUAGGAUAAGGAUUGGUUUUUCUAAGUAAUUUAUCCCGGAAAGCACAUAAGUUUAUUUAAUACACCUACUGAUUCUAGUCUAACGACAUUCUGUUUAGUGUAAGAUUCAUCAUUUAAUAAAACAAUUCUCUUUAAUUUAUUUGGUGGUAAUUAUUGAUCAAAUCAUUGGUUAAAGAAAAAGGGGAUAAGGAAGGCUCCUAAGCAAAGAAAUCUGAAAGGAACAUGGGAAUUAAACCAUAAAAAGCACAUUGAAUUGAAACUAGACCACAAUCUUCCAUCUCAAAGGGAUCAAGACAAACAGCACGUCACAUACCAUAAUCUUCAAAAAUAAUAAAAAGUCUGUACUUGCUUGUUAGAGAAGACAAAGAUGUUACCACCAAACUCCAAGAAGAUGAAAAUUUCUUGUUAGAGAAGAAAAGAGGGAACCAAAAUUCCAAAAAGAAAUUAAUCUUAAUGUAGAGAGACAUGAGGGGAAGGAAAGAGUUAUUCUCUCUGACCAGCCAUAGAUGCUACUUCCCAUUCUAAAUUUUUAUUGUUCCUACAUAAUUCUUCCUUUUAAACAGUCAAUGACGCUACAUCUAUUCUAUUUUUUUUUUCCCCUUCUCAAUUUUUAUGCUUUCGAGAACUUAAUAUAGUUAUUUGGCAUCUGACAUAAGUUGUACAUUAAUUAUAAAUCAUACCUUAUCUAUAGAAUAAAAUAAAAUAAAAGUAAAUCUAAGUAAUAUUCUUAAUAAUAUACAAUAGCAAAAUAGAAUGUCUCAAAGAAUUAUUAUUCAUUACAAAGAUUGGAAACUCGGAAUUCCUUCCUUAUAUUCACGUUUUUACCGAGUCCUAAAAUUCUUUAGGCCAAAAAGAACUUGGUGUAGAAGGGUAAGAAUGAAAAGAAUAAAAUAAUCAUGAAAUUUUUAUUUCUUAAAAUUUAUAAAAUAUAAGAAAAUAUAUAUACAUUUAUAUGAUUUUUUUUUUUUUUGGUUUCUAUAUAUAUAUAUAUAUUACAUUCGUGUUUUUAUGGAGUCUUCCUUAUAUUCACGUUUUUACCGAGUCCUAAAUUCAAGACUAAUCGUAGGUUUGGGCCAAAAAAACUUGGUGUAGAGGGGGUAGGGAAAUAUUUGUGCCACCAAGCCUCUAUAUAUAUAUUAUAAAUUAUAUAUUAUCUAUAAAACUUAUAUAUUAAUAAUAAUAUUUCAUCAAUUUCUUAGUAAAAUGGAUAAUAAAAAAUAGUUAUAAAAAGGUUAAAAUGUUAAAACUAUUAUGAUUAUAUAUAUAAUCUCUUUUAAAUUGGUAUCUAUAAAUAUUAUAUGAAACUAAAAAAAUAAUCAUAAAAUUAUUUUAUAACUAGCUAGAUCUUAUUUAUCAUACUAUUAUGGUGAAAAGGUUAAUUUCAUAUUCAUAAGAAAUAAUUAUUUUUUUCAACAAAUUAUGUGUGGUAUUAUUAUCCACUAUAAUAACACUAUUUUAGUGAGUAAUAAUUUUUAUUGAAAAAAAUUGUUUAUGAAAAUCCAAUUAUUUUUUUUAUAAGUAAAUUGUUUUUGUGAUAAAAUAUAUUAGUUGAAUAUUUGCAAUGGUUUAAUCCAUCGCAAUAAUAUGUUUUUGCCAAUGGGUAUUUUUUGUUACCAUUACUGUUGGUAAAAAGAUACAUAUAAGCGACGAGCAAUUCAAUUUUCAAUGGAGUAAGUGUGUUAGAAAUUUGCAAAAGUACAAAUCCGUUGCAAAAGUAAAUCUAAGUGGGUCAACAAUACUUAAUUUUCUUGUAGUGUUUUCACAACAAAUUGCUAUCAGAGCUUAGGUUAUUCGACUUGAAAUGGGAAACAAAGUUUAUGGUUGAGAAGUUUGAUGAAAGAAACGAUUUCAAUUUGUGGUCCAUUAAGAUGCGUGCCUUAUUGGUUCAAUAAGGGUUGUCAAAAGCAUUGAAAGGUAGAGAGACUCUACCAACAACAAUGUUUGAUGAAGAGAAUGAUGAACCUAUGGAGAAAGUGCAUAGUGUUAUUCUAUUAUGCUAGGGUAAUGAGGUGCUUUGUGAGGUUGCAAAAGAGGAUACAAUUGCCAAGUUAUGGUUGAAGCUAGAAAGACUAUAUGACAAAGUCUUUUACAAAUCGCUUGUAUUUAAGGGAGUGGUUAUUUACUCUAUAGAUGAAAGAAGGUAUGUAUUAAAAACCACCUUAAUGAGUUUAAUAAACUACCAUGGAUUUGAGGAAUAUUGUCCUUAUGUUAGUGCAAUUGGGAGCAUUAUGUAUGUCAUGGUUUGCACUAAGCUAGACAAUUCAAAUGUAGUUAAUGUGGCAAAUAGUUGUGGAUCGCCUUAGAAAGAUCCAUUGACAAGCAGUUAAAUGGAUUUAUAUUGGAGAUUUGUAUAGAAGAAGAUCUCUAAUAAGGUAUGUAUUCACUUUAUGUGGUAGUCGUAUUAGUUGGAAAGUAACUUUGGAAUCUAUAGUUGCUUUGUCAACCACUAAAGCAAAAUACAUGGCAGCCUAAAAGUAGUGAAAAAAGUUAUUUGACUUAAAGGUUUGGUUGGCAAUUUAAGCUUACAACAAGAAUUAACUGUGUGUGUAUUGUGAUAGCCAAAGGACAUUUGAUUAAAAAUCAAAUGUUUCAUAAAAUGAUCAAACAUGUUGAUGUCAGAAUACAUUUUAUUAGGGAAAUGAUGACAUAGGGUGUUAUUAUAAUAAAAAAAAAUCUCUAUAGUGGACAAUCCCGCAAAUAUGAUGACUAAGUUCAUUCUUACAGUGAAGUUCAAACAUUGCUUAUACUAAAUUCCCUUUAGGGUGUGGGAACGAAGUAAUAUGGAAGAAUUUUGAGUUUGUUUGAAUCUUGAAAAUUUGAGUCAAGGUGGAGAUUGUUGGAAAGUAUCUCAAAUUGUAUUUUUGACUCAAUUGAAAAGUUAUUGAUAAUUUUCUAAUAGAAGAUAUUCUUGUUAAAUGCUACUUCGAGUUUGUUAGAUGUUAAUUCUUUAAAUUAACUCCUUUUUUAGCGUACGCCGAAUCCAUACUAUGAGAAAUAGAAUGAUCCAUCCACUUGAGAUUCUUAUUUUUAGAUAGAAUCCAUAGAAUAAGACAAGUUCAAUGUGCUUGCUAGAUGUAUAAAACGAGAGGUAAACUCAAAAUUCAAGUCAACUUUUCACAUGAAAAAUAUUUUAAUUAGAUUAAUUUAAUUGAGAAUUGUCGUGAAUGAAAUGGAUUCAAAACAAAUUAUUGCAAUGAAAUUCAUUUUUUAUUCGUUAAUUGACAACAUGAUUUUAUAUACCCUAGUUGACAACUUAGAGUAAUACUAUAGUGAAAAUGGCAAAUCUUGCAAAGCAUGACUUGCACGUCAUGCAAUGAAUUCUGUCGUACUCUAAGAUAAUGAUAAAAAAUUCAAUGUUUGCAAUUUUAUUAAUUUUUCAUUAAACUUAGUAAAAAAAAUUUAUUAAAAAAAAAUUAAAAAGACAAGUAUUUUGGAUAAUGAUAUGGAUAAUAAAAAAUGAUUUUUAAAAGAAAAAUAUACAAGUGUUAUUCCAAAAAAUUAAGUAAUUCUCUAACUUCUUAAUAGCGGUUUUAAAAAUUUUGUUGAACAUCCAAAUUUGUAAUCAAAGUGUUUUUCUCACUAUCAAACAAUUUCUAAAACUGCCAAACAAACUCUAAAUUUAAAUUCUCUGUAAAUUUGAAAUUUUGAUUAGUUUAAAUGAUUUUCAUUAAAGGCAUUUUUAAUCCAUAAAAAAAUUCUUUCUUAUUGGAAACAUUUUAUAAAAUAUCAUUGAGCUAAUGUUUGAAUUUAAACAAAAAGAAGGGUUUUCGAUAGUUUUCUCAAAAACUAAAAAAUAUUUUUAGUAGUAACACUUUAUAAAAAAAUUAUUAAUGUUUGGCCAAAAACAAAGUACGGUAGGGUCCAUUUAGGAGCAAUUUGGACAAAGCACUUUUAACUUGCAGUUAUCAAUAAUGCUUUUGUUAUAAACUUUUUUUAUAAAAAAUAAAUUAAGAGUCUCUUCGAUAGCGAUAGCGAUUUUAAUAAUAAUUUUUAAUUAAAAAAAGGUUUUUGAAAACUAAUAGAGUGUUUGACAAAAUUUAAUAAAUAUUUUAAAAAAUCUAAAAAAAAUCAUUUAUAAUACUAAAAAAGUACUUCUAGUACUUUCUAAAAAACCAAUUAAUGGAUAAUUCUCCCAAAAACAUUUUUAAAUAAAACUUUUAAUAAAAACUUUUCCCAGUAAAACAUUCACACAUUUAAGGUAUUAAUGCUUGGACAUACAUUAAAAAAAAUUGAUUUGAUAAUAUUUUUUUUGUGAUAUAAAAACGUAAUUUUUGAAAGAAGCACCCAAAAAGUAUCAUGACUAAGAAUCUAUAGUAAUUAUCUAACUCAAAUAAAAUAAGAAGUUUCAAAAAUUUAUCAAACCCCGAGUUUUAUGGGAUGAGCAGCUGCAAUUAUUAGAAAAUACUGGUUGUUGAUGUCUCACGUCUUUGGUGAUCCAGGUAGUUGACAAAUGGAUGGACGCGUGAUCUCAACCCAUAAAGGUUCUUGAUCCAGCCGUUAUACCUACAAGAAGGCAUCCGGACAGGGUGUCCGGACGCACCCUCCGAUGGUUUUGUUAGCCAUGGUCAGAGAGAGGAAUAUAAAUCAGUUGGUCUUUUACCAGGUAUCGAAAGGUUACCAGGAGGAUCCCUCUUCUUCGUGCGAGGGCAUAUAUAUAUAGCUUCAGGGGUACUGCUCCUCUCAUUAAUGGUGAGGAGAUAUUUUAUGUUGUGAUGAUGAUAAUAGGUGUCGGUAGGAGCAUUAUCACCCUACGAACGGCUGUCAGAAACCAUGGUAGGUGAUGCGGCUGUCAGAGAUCGUGGGAAGUGAUUAUGUAGAAUGAUCGUGGGAAGUGACUUGCUGUCACUUCCUCUUGUCUUCUCAUUCUGCAGGUGAUGGGAUGCGGGCCAUAGCUGGCUGUCGUGAUAGCGUGUAAGACUUGUUUUACUUUGAUUGAUGAUCCGGACGAUUAUAUCCGGGUGGCAUAUGCUGAUUACCCGGAUGUAUCGUGGAGCGGAUGCAUUUAUGAAGGUUGUCCGGAUGUCUGUGCUUUGCCAGCGACGUUUGCUCUUCCUUGGAUAGGAGAAGUUGAAACGUCAUUUGUCUUUCCUUGAGGCGGUCCGGAUAGGAGAACUGCCUUAUGUAUAUCUUUAGGAGAAUCCGGAUAACGAUGGUCCGGCUGAUAACACGUGCCACGUGCCACUGUGAGGUGCGUGCCACGUGUUUCCCAGAGGGAGGGGUCCCUACACUGGUAACCCUUCCAAAUUCACUGUCAAAGAGUCUGUUUCAAGUCUAUAUCACCCCAGGUCUGCUUCUUGAUAUUUUUAAGAAAAAAAUCCAUAUUUUACUGGAUCCCCUCGAUCAGCUUCUAAAAGGUCCAGAAGAGUGAAGCAUUGGUCUGAGUAAACAAAGUAGCACGUCCUUUUUAUGAGUUGCCAUCAAGCCAACUAGAUGUAAAGCGACAAUAAAUGGGGGUCAAUCUUAGUAUAUAGCGUCAUCUCCCUCAAAAUUCAUGCCCACAUUCAUCCCAUUCCCAUUUUGGAGAAGAAAGAAAGGAAAUGGAUCACAGAAGAGGAGAAGAGAAUGGGUUGGAUGGGAACAGCUACAACUCAGACAUUGAAGCUGAGAUCAUCAACAAGAAGAACCCAAAGGAGAGGGAGGAAGAAGAAGAAGAAGAAGAAGAGGAGAUGUCGGUGGAGAGGAUUUUUGAGAGCAAGGAGGUGCCAUCAUGGAGAGAACAACUGACUGUGAGAGCCUUUGUGGUGAGCUUAGUGGUUGGAGUACUCUUCACCUUCAUAGUGAUGAAGCUCAACCUCACCACUGGUAUCAUCCCUUC